AGGGGGCGACGAGGGUCCGGGGGUCCCCGGGCCCUGCUGCCCGCGGCCGGCUGGUCCACGCCCCAGCCUGCCUCUGCCACCCAAGCCCACGCUCGCCCCCUGCACGGCAGCUGGCGCUCCUCGUCUGCCCCACAAGAGGUUAAUCCUUGUUGGUGUUGCAGCUUCUUUGUGGCUUCCCCAGGACUUGGUAUCCUUGGCUUUGCAAACUUGCCCUUUUCCCAGCCGCUUUGCCGGAGACUGCGGAGACGAAGAUGAGCGGAAAGUUGGAAGGCGGCGAGCAUCACAGGACGGUCCCCUUGGCCUCGGUGCCGUGCGGGGCUCGGGCGGAGGAGGGGGGUUUGUCAGGCUGGGGCGAAAACUUGACGAGGAAGUCAAGUUAUGAUUUGCUCAGGCUUCCACCUGAUUGAUGGGCUUCAAAGCCUUUGGGGUCUCUGCCUUCACCUAUUUCCGAUGGUCUUUUGUUUGGGGGCGGGAGAGUGAGGAAUAAUGACUUUCACGGACCCUUCUCCUUGUAAAGAGCCGCCGCCCAACUUGGGCACCAGCCCCGGGGAUCACUAAGUCUUUCAGGCCCUAGACUUCUUACCCCACCUGAUCGCUGGUGAGCACUUUCUCUUCCCAAGUUAGCAGCAUCGAGGUCUGAGGCAGGUCUUGUCGAGCAGGAUUUGGGGGGUAGGGAUCUGUCCCCUUCACUUUUUGGGUCGCCCGACCUCCCAGAAUUGCCCUCUUAGCGGGUGUGCGCGCGCGUGCACACAUACACGCACACACAAACACACUCACUCACAGGGACGAAUUACCCAAUAAGCAAUGUAAGCAUGGGCUUACUUGUGCUUACUUACUAAUCUGUAGUGAACAAAACGUGUGAAGUUGUUCACUACGGAUUAGUAAAUAAGCACAACUAAACCCGUAUUUACCUUGCUCACUGGGAACUUCUGCCCGUCAGGGAUUGUAACUUUGAAGAGAUGCUUUGAUUCUGUAGAAGGAUGCUGUGGGGUUGAGAGGGAGACAGGUGCCAGCCAUAUCUAGAAGCAGAAUCUUUGAAGUGGUGAAAAAAUGUGAAAUUGUUCACUACAGAUCUGGUAAGGAAAAUUUCCUCCUCCUCACACACACAUUCAUUCACACACAUGCUCACACACACUCAUUCAGUCACACACACACACACACACCCCCUCACUCUUCUGUGUACAGUAGAAAUUAAUGCCCUUAGAAGUGAAGGGCUGGGGUUCUGUGAGCCCUUCAAGAUUUCAGUCAGGAGGUGAUUUUCUAUCUCUCAGGGCAGCGAGUUGGAGCAGUUCAGUCCCAGGGCAGUAAUGUCAAAAAGCAUUUGGAUAACAACCAAGUGGGAUAAAUAUCUUGUAAAAGGGGAUGUUUAAUAGUAAAAAUAGAUUAAUGGAGCCUUCAAGUGGUUGAAUGGGACUAACAUAAAGGUUUGAUUUAAGUUUGAAAGCCAAGUUAUAUAAACCCAUGUACGUGCCUUUUAAGCCAGAGGGGAAAAAUCUGAAAGUGAGAUUGAAAUGUGUCCCUGACAAUAAUUGGACCUGUGGUCUGUGGAAGUAUUGUUGUUGUCUAGACGCUCUGGUGUGCACCUGUACCUUUCCUUCUGACCAGGUUUGAUGCCAGCUAAGGAGCUACCUGGCUUUUAAUGGGAAAAUUCAGGAGACCAAUUUCAGGAUAGGUCAGAUACAUUAACUAACCCCCGUUUAAAGGAAAAAAUCAAAAUGAUGCACCUGUUUGUUAGCAAGAAAGAAAGGUAUUCCCAUGAUGUAAACACAGGGUGUCUUGACCUAGCUGAAAGGUAACCCCACCCCAAGUGUCUCAUUCCUGUCAGGGCCGUGUGAUUGGGUGGGAUACUGUCAGUUGACAAAAAGAAUAACGGUCAGGGUUGAUAAUGGUUACUAACUAUAACAGUAGGCCAGGCAUCUUACGGUAUGAUUUAUGUGCUUUAUCGUUUAAUUCUCAUCGUAAACUUACAAGUACUGUUCUUAUCUCCAGUUCCCGGUUGAGGAAAUGGAGACUCAGAGAGGUGAAGAAACUUGCCCAAAGCCACACAGUAAAAAUCAAAGUCACUGUUGGAAGCCAGGUCUGACUUCAGAGCCUUAACUGCUCUGUUACAGAAGCUUCCAAGACAUGGUCAGCUGUUGUUAGAAUGAAAAAUUAAGAGGCUGGGUGCAGGCGGGUGAAGAGGGAGCCGUAACCACAGUGCUGCCUGGUGGUCUGAACUCAUAGGAAUAUUCCUGCUUUUCACUCUUUUAUUCAUUCAUUUAGCAGCCAUGCUUUGAUUUAUUUAGUCAUUCAGCGACUGUAAUGUUCAUCAUCAUAGUAAGAGCCCACAGUCAUUAAGCACGUUUGUAUUCCAGGGACUGUUCUAAGCGUUUGUGAUUAAACUGUUUUGCCUUCACAACGACCCUGUGAGGUAAGUAGUCUUGUUAAUUGCCGUAGAGUUGGCUCCGACUCAUGGCAGCCCCGGUCCUUCGUCAUCUUCGUGAUUGUUGGUAUACUCAGAUCCAUGUUGUACCCACCGUGCAUUAUGAGUGCCUUCAGCCUAGAGGGUACUAUGUCAGACAGUGUUCUGUUGUGAUCCAUGGGGUUUUCAUUGGCUCAUUUUCAGAAGGAGAUCACCAGGCCUUUCCUUCUAGCCCAUCUUAGACUGGAAGCUCUGCUGAAAGCUGUAUACCAUAGGUGACCCUGCUGGUAUUUGAAAUAUUGGUGGCAUGCCUUCCAGCGUCAUAACAACGCGCAAACCACCACAGUAUGAGAAGUACUCCCAGCUUCUCCUUUUAGAGAUGAAGAAACAGAGGCAUAGAGAGGUUAGCUAAACACUAGUAAACCACAGUGCCACACCCCAGAAUGUGUGCUGUCAGCCAGUGCCCACCGCUGCUCCAAUUCAAAGCAAGGCAUUACAGAGAUGUGAUGAGAUAGAGGUGCCCCCCCUCAAGAACUUGAGCUGACUGGCAGGGAAACACUCAUGGGCCAAAUCAAGCAGGGUUAAGUAAGUGCUAUAAUUGAGACAAGUGCUGCUGUGAAGCACGGUGAAGGGUGUGAUUAUUCUGCUCUGAGCGAACAUGGAGAAUUCCCUGGAGGGGGUACCAUCUGAACUGACCUAUGAAUGACUACGAACAAUAUCUGGAGAGGUGUCGCAUAUCAUUGCAUUCAGCUGCUGGCAACAGAAAUCCUGACCACCAGUGACUUCACCAGAUGCGGGCUCAUUUGCAUCAGAAAACAAGAAGGGUAGGUGGGAUGUUGUCUUAGCCCUAUCAUUAGGAACCCAAGUUUUAUCUUUCAGUUCUUCCACCUUUAGCCCAGGGUUUAUCAUCUUGUGGUAGGAAGGUGGCUGCUGUGUCCCCAGGCCUCACAUCUGCAUUCCAGGAAGAAGAAAGUAGGACAAGUCAGGGACAAAAUGCUUUUACUUAGUAUGGCUUUGCAGUUGUGUUUGGGAAAGGAUACUCCUCCCAGGGACUUCAGUCCUUAACUUACCCACCAGAACGGUGUCACGUGACCACUCAGACGUGCCAGGGAGGGGCAAUCAAAUAUUUUAGCUAGGCACCAUAAACAAGUUGGGGCUCAGUUUAUAAGGUAGAAGGAAUGAAUGGAGGUAUGGUUGUUAAGUUGGCAGGUAGAGUGUUUGCCACCUAAGAUGCAAAGGUAUCCCUGAUGAAACUAAAACCGUGUCCCAGGAGCCAUAAGUAUCCUGGGAAGGUGGAGAGGGGAUGCAUGGGAGACAGAACAAAGAGAUGAUGCAACGUGGCAGAGGUUGGCUUUUAAUCCAUAGGUAUUGGGGAGCCACCACAGCAGGUUGUUGAGAGGGGAAUGUCCUGUGUUUUAGGAGGAUGAAGACUGACAGCAGGGUGCCUUGGGGAGACAAACCAGCUUGGUUAUAAUUUGAAAUAAAAUGAGUUCUGGAACAUUUCAGACCAGGGGACCAGGUUUGCCUCAGGGCAAAAAGAAGAUGCGGCCAGUGAGGAAGUGAGGGAUGCUGGGGAGAUUUUCUCUUAGGUUUUGCCAGCAAGAAUCCAACAUUAUCUAGGCUUUUGUCAGCUGUUCCUAGGAGGUGGCUGUCUUUCCUUUUGCCAUAACUGAGUUAGUGGAAUUGAAAAACCUGGAAAGGGGUGCUGCUGACUUCCUGACUUUCCACUUGCCUUUCUUUUGACCCUCAGGUCCCAGCUGCAGUGUUGCCGUUCACUAGCAGACUAACUUGAGACAGGGCCUCUCACCUUUGCUUUAAAUCGAUGGGAUGACAUCAGAGGACCUUGGAGGUCCUUCUGUCGAAUCCCUCACACUGGAUUCCUCCAGCAAAGACCACCAUCCCUGAUUCUCUUUGCUUCAUCUAUUAGCUUGGUGACUUUGGGCUAUUACCUCACUGAGCCUCAGUUUCCUCAUCUCUAAAACAGAGAUCAUUCUAAUCAGUUGCUCUCAAGGGGAUUCUGAUUCGUGUAUCAAAGUAGAGCUGUGGCUCCAUAGGGUUUUCAGUGUCUAAUUUUUCCACAGUAGAUGGCCAAGCCUUUCUUCUGAGGCACCUCUGGGUGAAUUGGAACCGCCAACCUUUUGGUUAGCAGCUGAACAUGUUAUGUUAACUGUUUGCACCACCCACGGGCUCCCAGGAGAUAUACUAGCAGUCUUAUGCAUUGUGGUGAGGCUUAAGAAAGAAAUUUAUAAUAGGGCCUAGCACAGUGCCUAACGCAUGAUUUGUGCUCAGUAAACAUUACCUGUUAAUCACCAUCACUGCCACCACCAUUGUCCUCACCACUGCCACCACCUUUAGGAUGUGACUCUAUUGUAUCCUUGAGGUACCAAGUAAUUACCAUGAGGGGAUUUUUAUCGUUGAUGCUGGGACCCUGACUGCCCCCACCUCAUUGCCAUUCUCCACAUCUCGCAUAGGCACACGUGCUCCUCACCCUCAUGCCAAGUCUGAGCACCUAUUGAAAUGGAAAGCUGUGCCGGCCUAGAUCACAGGAGACCCCGGUGCAGUGUUUUCAGGUGCUGAAAUGUGCUGCGUCAUGGUCAAGUCCAGGCAGUGCCCUGCAGAAAGGAUGCUGGGCUGCGUGUGUGCCACUUGGGUAGGCAAUAACGUGGAUGCUGUUUUUAGUAUUGACAAGGCAGUUUCAUUUUUAACUGAAAAAAAAAAAUCGCUCCUCAUUCCCCUCCUCCACUCCCCUCUAAGGCCCCACCCUAGACUGAACAGGUUGUGAUUUUAAGAACAUCCACCCACAAUCUGCUUCCUGUUCUUGUGCCUGUAGUCAUGCAUUUAAGAGAUGUUGACUGGCAGUGGUGUGUGUCUGCGUGUGUGUGUGUGUGUAUGUAUCUGUGUGUGUGUAUCUGUGUCUGUGCGUGUGUGUCUGUGUAUGUGUCUAACAGACCCCAAGUCUCCACUCAAACUUCAAAAUGAGAUAAGACCAGAGCCAGAACAGCUCUCUUGCUGACUCCUGCCUUUCCCCACUGUGGACAGUGUUUACCCGUUGAAAGUCAUGGUUCACACACCUUCUUCCUCUUCCCCGCCAGUAUUGGAAACACCUAGAAGAUUAAAUCUCAUUAUACGUUGUUCCACUGCAAUCAUAUUUAACACGUAACAGAAUCUGGAGUGAAUAAAAUGGUUUCAAUAUUGAUCCCUGAAAAAAAAAUUUUUUUUUUUUUCAUUGGCUGAUUUUCAGAAGUAGAUCAUCAGGUCUUUCUUCCCAGUCUGCCCUAGUCUGGAAGCUCUUCUGAAACCUAUCCACCAUGAAUGACCCUGCUGGUAUUUGAGACACUGGUGGCAUAGCUUCCAGCAUCGUAGUAAUACUCAAACCACCGCAGUAGGACAAACCAACAGAUGGAUGUUGGGUACCUGUUACCUGUUGAAACUCAUUGCCGUUGAGUCGAUUCAACUCGUAGCGGCCCUGUAGGACAGAGUAGAACUGCUCCAUGGGGCUUCCAGGGAGCGGCUGGUGGAUUCGAACUGCCGACCUUUGGUUAGCAGCCUGAGCUUUUAACCACUGCACCACCAGGGUUCCUUCAUGCAUGAGGGAUCGAUAUUAAGGAGUGUGACCCAGGUAUACACUUGGGGUGAGGGGUUUGUGGUCCCUUUUGCACAGGUGCACAGGCUUGUUUGGGGGUGGAAGAGUGGGACGCCCACGCUGGACUUAUCUUUCAGGGGAAACCAGCAGAGCCCUGGGAACCCUUUGCUGCCAAGUUCAGGACGAGGAGUGGAAUCCGGUCUCCCUGAGGCCUCAGAGGGCAGCCAGACUGAGGUAGCUCAUUCUUUGCAAGGGCGUUCUCCCUGUUGGAGACUCGGGCGGACUUGAUGGGAAUGGGGAGGGCUCCGACUGUUGAGAAGGGCAGGGGAUGGCUGAGGAGAGUUCCUAGGCUACAGGAUUUCUGGGCUUGCUUGGGUGCCUGCAGCUGCGAGGCUCCAAAACAUCCACAGAAAGUGAGGAGGGACCAGAAGUCUGAAUUAAGGAGGAGGCAGCAUACAUGCAUGGGCUGUGAAACAGUGGCGGUUUAAACCAGCGUUGCAGAAAGACUUAAACAUUCCACAGGGGGCUGACGUUCAAGCCCCGCACUGCGUUCUUGUCUCCUCUGACACCAGCCUUGGCCACUCUGACCCAUGAGAACGAACAUACAAAAGCUCCCUUACAUGCAGACUCACCACAAACACACGAUGUUCCCAGCCUUAAGAAGAGUGGCAGCUCUUGAAAAUUGAGCAACUGCUAUGCACUGUGUGCCAGACACGAGACAUUGGUGUUCAGGGCUAGAAUUCUUGCCUUCCACGCGGGAGACCUAGCGUCAGUUCGGGGCCUGUGCACCUCAUGCGCAGCCACCACCGAUCUAUCAGUGGAGGCUUGAGUGUUGCUACGACGCUAAGCAGUUUUCAGUAGAGCUUCCAGACUAAGAGACUAGGAAGAAAGGUCUGGCGAUUACUCCUGAAAAUCGCCAGUGAAAACUGAGUGAGUUACAAAGUGUCCGAUCUGCACCCUGUCGUGGGGAUGGCGCAGUACGGGGUUGUGUUUUGUUCCGUUGUGCGUGGAGUUGCCAUGAGUCGGCGGCAGCUAACAGCAACCGUGGCAGGCACUCGGUGAAACACGCCCUCUACAUGAUACCGUUUAUUCUGACCAUAAGGACUAAAUAGACAGCGGUGGUCUGGGCCCAUUUCAAAGAUGGAGGAACCAAAGCUCACAGAGGUUAGGUACUUGCUCAAGAUCACACAGAGAAAGUCACAGAGGUAGGAUUCAAAUGCAGGUCAAUCUGAUUCCAAAGCUUAUGCCCUCGGCCAUCACUGGGUCUUUCUGAAGUUCUGAGAGUCUCCUGGAGGCCAGCUCCACACCAGCCUAGAAGAAGGUGCAGGGGGAAGGGACUGUUUUAGAAGGUGCUUCGGGGCACAGUCAGGCAUGGUGCAGUUGUGUGUUUGUGUGUGUGUGUGUGUGUGUGUGAAUGAGAUUCAUCAAAACAGGAGAGAAUUCCAAAUCUGUGCCUGUUUUCCACAGCACACCCCUAAAAAAAAAAAAAAAAAAAAAAACCUGCAAAAAUAAAAAGACAAUUCUAAGCCUCUAUCAGUGUCUGUAACGGAAUAUUCUCCAGGAGGAAACGCCCCCUGUCCACCUUGCCCUCUCCUGCUCACUUCCUUGGGCCUGGAGAGAAAAAAUCCCAGUGGGCUGGAAGCUGCAAAAUCAGGGACCACAGAGAAUCUGGGUGCUAUUUUCUGGAUGCUGCACAACCUGGCCAGCCAAUGGGGGAGGCAGUGGAGAGAGCAGGCGCUGGGAGGGUGGAGAAUGGCCGUGUUGCUGUUUUUAUACAAUAAAAGAGGAUCAUUGUAAUUGUGGGCCCGUGAAUCAUAACACCCUGCCCAUGGCGCUCCCCAGCUGCAGAGCCAUUUAGUUAAAUAGCGCACAGAAAACUCCUUUCAGCUGAUAUUACCUUCCCGCUGUUCUUAAAAUAUGAGACAAGGCUGGAUUGCUCUAACAACAAAGCCACCUCAGGCUCCCCCAAGCCCUGGGUGUACCAGAAUCCCUGUGGGAUCUCCUUGGCCUACAGAGAAAGACGUUCAGAGAUUGUUUUCGUCUGCACCACACCCCUGUCUGUGCGAAAACAAUGUCUUUUUAUUUUUUUCACUUUUAGUUUAUUUUAUUUUUCAUUGUUGUUGAGCAUAUACACAGCAGAACAUAACCAGUCCAACGAUUUCUACAUGUACAGUUCAGAGACACUGAUUACAGUCUUCAAGUUGUGCAACCAUUUCCACCCUCCUUUUCUGAAUUGUUCCUCCCCCAUUAACAUAAAAGUCACUACCCCCUCAGUUUCCUGUCUCAUCUUUAGACUUGGUGUUGUCAGUUUGAUCCCAUAGAAAUAGAUCUUAAAAGAGCGCAAUACUCCAGGCAAACGUUCUGUACUAGUUAAGCUAAACUAUUGUUUGGUUUUAAGAAGACUUCCAAGGAUAUUUUUUGGUUUAAAGUUUAUCUCGCGGCAGUAGUUUCUGGUUCACCUAGCCUCAGUGGCUCCAGCAAGCCUGGAGUCUAUGAGAAUUUUAGAUUCUGUUCUGCAUUUUCCCCCUUUUGAUGGGGAUUCUUCUGUAGAGGAAACAGCUUCUUUAAGAUAUUUGCAUACAGCCUGGCCAGAGCUGGAUGUCAUGGCCGAGUUGAUUAUGGUGGGUGCAGGGGCAGAUUGUCCAAUAAGAAAGGUAAGCACAGUGCUUACCUUGCUUACCGGAUCAUCUGUAAUGAGCAGUUCCACAUCUCUGAUGUGGUGAAACCCAUGUGAAAUUGUUUACUACAGAUUAAGUAAGCCUGUGCUUACCUUGCUUACUGGGUCACCCGCCCCUGUCAAGGACUGUAAAUUUAAAAAGAGACUUUGAUUCUGUGCUGUGGGGCUGGGAGAGAGACAGAUGCCAGCCUUACCUAGGAGCAGAAUUUUUGGUGUGGGGAAAAAAUGUGAAAUUGUUCACUACAGAUGAUGUGGUAAGCACAGUAAGUGCUGUGCUUACCUUGACAAUUGAAUAAUCCACCCCUGGGUGAGUGCUGACCCGGAGAGGGUAGGAGAGGCCAGAAUGCCUGUGCUAGUAGGGACGGGUGCGUCUUUGCUUUCUUGGGGGGCCAGGGGGUAAUGGAGGGAUACAGACUGACAGCUAGAAGCUGGAGAAACAGAUUGUCUUCUGGCCAAGACAUGGAGGGGAAGAAUGGUGGCUCCAGGCAGGGGUGGAGAGAAGCACAGGCCCACACGUAACCUCUCCUCACAGAGAGCUCUGAGGUUUCAUUAUCCUGCAGAAUUGCCUGUUAACUUUGUUCCGGGAACUUUGUGCUACAGAAUUGGUUCUGACCAUGCAGUGAACUUCUGCCAGAGACAGGAGCUCAGGAGAGGCCGAAGGCGUCACAUUGUUUCCAAGAGCAAGGGCUCUGAGGUGCAUGGAGGCACAGAAUGGAUCACUCUGUGGGCUAAUGGAAGACAUUUGAAGGACCGAGGGCUGCGUCUGUCACGGCAGCCACACGAUUGGACAUUGCCUGGUACAGCACUUUUAGAAACGGGGUUCAUGCAUUUCCUAGUAGAAAGUAUAAGGUCAUCUGGAAACGCUGGAGAAGGAACUGGUGUGUGUGACGGGGGUGCAUCUAAUAGCGACAUGGUACGUUGGUAGGAUCAAGAAAUGUUCGAAUUCUUUAAAGAGAGGGAAAAACUCAUCAUUAACUUUAUAUGGAAAGGGAAGAGGCCCCGGAUAAGUAAAGCACUAAUGAAGAAGAGUAAAGUAGGAGGACUCACACUACCUGACCUCAGAACCCACUAUACAGCUACAAUAGUCAAAACAACCUGUUACUGGUGCAACGACAGAUACAUUGACCAAUGGAACAGAAUUGAGAACCCAUGCAGUCGUGCUCUUGACAUCUACGCCACUAGAGCUCCAUGCACGAGCUUGCUUGUGCAUAUUUGCUGGUCUGUAGUGAACAAUUUCAGCCGUUUUUCACCACAUAAAUAUGUGGUAAAAACCCAUGUGAAACUGUUCACUACAGAUUGGUGUGUAAACACAAGUAAGCCUAUGCCUACCUUGCUUAUUAAUAUAAACCAGCGUGCGCUGUGCUUACUGGUUAAUCCAUCCCUGACUGUAUGUUAUGUGAAUUUCAACUCAAUCAAAAAGUACUUUGCUGACCUAAAAAAAAAAAAAAAAGAAUUGAGAACCCAGAUGUAAAUCCAUCCACCUACGGUCACCUGAUCUUCAACAAGGCCCCAAAGUCCAUCAAAUGAGGAAAAGACAGCCUUUUUAACAAAUGAUGUUGGCAAAACUGAAUGUCCAUCUGCAAAAAAAUGAAACAGGACCUAUACUUCACACCAUACACAAAAACUAAUUCAAAAUGUGUCAGAGACCUAAAUAUAAAGCAAAAAACUAUAAAGAUCAUAAAAGAAAAAAUAGGAUCAACGCUAUAGGCCCUAAUACAUGACGUUAACAGGAUACAAGCCGUAACUAACAACACACAAACUUAAGAACAUAAACUUGAUAACUGGGAUCUUCUAAAAAUUAAGCACUUAUGCUCAUCAAAAGGCUUCACCAGAAGAGUAAAAAGAGAACGUACAGACUGGGAAAAAGUUUUUGGCUAUUACAAAUCAGACAAAGGUCUAAUCUCUGAAAUCCACAGGAAAAUUCAACACCUCUACAACAAAAAGACAAAUAAUCCAGUUAAAAAAUGGGCAAAGGAAAUGAACAGACACUGCACCAAAAAAGACAUUCAAGUGGCUAACAGAUACAUGAGAAAAUGUUCACGAUCAAUAGCCAUUAGAGAAAUGCAAAUCAAAACCACAAUGAGCUACCAUCCCACCCCAGCAUUACUGGCAAGAAUAAAAAAACAGGAAAUAGCAAAUGUUGGAGAGGCUGCUGGGAGAUUGGAACUCUUAUGCACUGCUGGUGGGAAUGCAAAAUGAUACACCCAUUCUGGAAAAUGAUAUGGUGCUUCCUUAGAAAGCUAGAAAUAGAAAUACCAUAUGAUCCAGCAAUCCCACUCCUAGGAAUAUAUCCUAGAGAAAUAAGAGUCCUCACGUGAAUAGACGUGUGCAUACCCAUGUUCAUUGCAGCAUCGUUCAUAGUAGCAAACAGAUGGAAACAACCUAGAUGCCCAUCAACUGAUGAAUGGAUAAACAAACUAUGGUACAUACACACAAUGGAGUACUACGCAAUGAUAAAGAACGGUGAUGAAUCUGCAAAGCAUCUCGCAACAUGGAUGAAUCUGGAGGGCAUUAUGGUGAGUGAAACAAGUCAAUCAUAAAAGGACAAAUAUUAUUUGAGACCCCUACUAUAAAAACUCGUGAAAAGGUGUACACACAAAAAGAAACAAUGUUUGAUAGUUAUGAGGGAGGGGGAGGGCGGGGAUGGAAAAACACUAAUAGACAAUAGUUAAGUGGUAACUUUGGUGAAGGGUAAGACAGUACACAAUACCGGGGAAGCCAGCACAAUUUGUCCAAGGCAAGGUUGUGGAAGCUCCACAGACACAUCCAAACCCCCUGAGGGACGAAAUUGCUGGGCUGAGGGCUUUGGGGACCAUGGUCUGGAGGAACAUCUAGCUCAACUGGCAUAAUAUACAUAGCUUUUAAAGAAAAUAUUCUACAUUCUACUUUGGUGAGUAGCAUCUGGGAUCUUAAAAGCCUGUGAGCGACCAUCUAAGAUACUCCACUGGUCUCAUACCUUCAGGAGCAAGGGAGAAUGAGGAAAACUAAAGAUACAAGGGAAAGAUUAGGCCAAAGGACUAAUGAACCACAACUACCAUGGCCUCUACCAGUCUGAGUCCAGACUGUGCCCGGCUACCACCACUGACUGCUCUGACAGGAAUCACAAUGGAGGGUCCUGGACAGAGCUGGAGAAAAAUGUAGAACAAAAUUCUAACCCACAAAAAAGGGCCGGACUUACUGGCCUGACAGAGACUGGAGAAACCCUGAGAGAAUGGUCCCCCGGACGCCCUUUUAGCUCAGUAAUGAAGUCACUCCUGACGUUCACCCUUCAACCAAAGAUUAGACGGGCCCAUAAAACAAAACAAGACUAAAUGGGCACACCAGCGCAACGGCAAGGACUGCAAAGUGGGAAGGGACAGGAAAGCUGGUAAUAGGGAACCCAAGGUUGAAAAGGGAGAGUGUUGACAUGUCGUGGGGUUGUUAACCAAUGUCAUAAAACAAUAUGUGUACUAACUGUUUAAUGAGAAGCUAGUUUGUUCAGUAAACCUUCACCUAAACUAUAAUUUAAAAAAAUGUAACUCUGGAAAAAAAGAAACGUUUAAGCUGAGAGAAACGUUAUCUGGUCCACCUUGGGGCAUCUGAGGCCUAGGAAGCUAAGAGGAUUUGCCUAAGGUUAUGUGGCCAUUCAGAAGUGUGUUAUUUUUCCUAUUGUAUAUGGGGUCCCUGGGUGGCUGCUACCUGAAAGGUUGGUGGUUCAGAUCUACCCAGAGGCACCUCAGAAGAAAGGCCUGGCGAUCUUCCAAAAGGUCACAGCCAUUGAAAACCCUGUGGAGCACAGUUCUACUCUGAAACACGUGGGUUCACCAUGAGUAGGAAUCCACUCAGCAGCAGCUGGUUUGGCUGUAGUCUAGGUGAAAACCCUUCUUUUUCUGUAGGCCUUCCCUGACCAGCCGGCCCCCAUUACCCUCCCUACCCCUCACUGAGCCCCUGCCUGCCAGAGGAAGAAAACAUGGUCCCUGCUCUCAGGGAGUUCGUAUGUAUUUGCCACUUAACAACUGCAACCAUUGGCAUAGGUAGCCCUAGCUGACAUGGGCACCAUUCUCAGUGCUUUAUAGUGUUAUGACAGUCCUGAGAGGUGUAGGGACUAUGUUAUCCCCAUUUAAUGGACAAGGGAGCAUACAGCAGGGAGGUCCCCUGGUCAAGGUUUCUGGAAGCCAGGCAGUCUUAUGCCACACCUGGUACACGUAAGGCUUGGAUACCUACCCUGCAUGUACCUGGGGCUCCAGGAGGAGGACUGUGGCUCCUUCCACUGAUACUCCAAGCUGGUGGCUGAGCCUCCUGCCAGCACUGAGAAUCACAGCAAAGGAAGACAUAGAGCCCCACUGAGUAGAUAGGGUGAAGAGCAGAGCCACACCUUGAACACAGGUAUUUGGAAUCCAAGACUCGAACACUUUUACCCACAUCAGUUAUGGUGUCUGCCGUGGCCGCUGCAGCCAGAAGUAGCUGAUUGGGUGUCUUGUGUAGGAUGGGCAGGUUACUUAGGGAUGCAGAAUUACAGGUGACUGCCCAGUUUAGAUUCCCCAAAGUUCUCCUAAAAGUAAAAGACCUUUGAGGCAGUUCAGGCAGUUUUUAAUUGAGCAACAGAUACAUACUUGGGCGUAAUAAUAAUUAUCAACUGUGACGUAUAGAGGAGACACAGUGGUUAGGAGCUACGGCUGCUAACCAAAAGGUCGGCAGUUCAAAUCCCCCAGCUGCUCCUUGGAAACCCUAUGGGGCAGUUCUCCCCCACCCAAUAGGGUCACUGUGAGUCGGAAUCGACUCAAUGGCAAUGGGUUUUCGUUUAUGAUGUAUAGGUCACUUACUUUGUGUCAGGCACCGUGCAACUCCGUGACAUACAUACUGUCGCUGCCCAUUGUUUGAAAUAGCUUUAUUCAGAUAUAAUUUACAUACCCUGAAACUCACCCAUUUGUAGUGUGUAAUUCUUUGAUUUUAGUAUGUUUACAGAGUUGGGCAACCAUCACCACAAUCUAAUUUUAGAACAUUUCCAUCACCCCAAAAGAAACCCUGUACCCAUUAGCAGUCAGUGUCCAUCCUUUCAGCCUCUGCCCCCUCCUCCAGCCGUAGUCAGCCACUAAUCUACUUUCUGUCUCUAUGGAUUUGCCUUUUCUGAACAUUUCAAAUAGAUGGAAUCAUACAAUAUGUGGUCUUUUUGUGUCUGGCUUCUUCACUUAGCAUAAUGUUUUUCAUGUCAUCCGCAUUGUAGCGUGCAUCAGUGCUUCAUUCCUGUUUGUUGCCAAGUAGUAUUCCACUGUAUGGCUAAUGCCACGUUUUGUUUAUCCACUCACCAACUGAUGCCCUUGGGUUGUUCCCACUUUUUUGGGUGUUAUGAAUAAUGAUGCCGUGAACAUCUGUGCACAAGUCUUUCUGUAACCGUGGGUUUUCAUUCUCUCGGGUAGAUACCUAGGAGUAAAAUUGCUGGGUCUUAUGGUAUGGAGUCCUGGUGGCACAGUGGUUAAGAGUUCGGCUGCUAACCAAAAGGUCGGCAGUUUGAAUCCACCAGGCGCUCCUUGGAAACCCUCUGGGGCAGUUCUACUCUGCCCUAUAGGGUUGCUAUGAGUAAGAAUUGACUCGACAACAGUGGGUUUUGUCUUUAUGGUAACUCUGUGUUUAACUUUUUAAGAAACUGCCAAACUGGUUUCCUAAGUGGCUACACCAUUUUACAUUCCCACUGGCAAGGUAUCAGGUUUGCAGUUUCUUCACAGCCUCGUUAACACUUGGUAUCAUGGUGGAUCGACCAGUAAGCCAGGUAUGCGUGGACUUAAUCGUAUUUACUAACCAAUCUAUAGUGCACAAUUUCACGUGGGUUUCAUCACAUCUUUAGUGAAAAACAAGUGAAAUUGUGCACUACAGAUUAGUAAGUAAGCACAAGUAAACCUUUCUUACCUCGUUUAUUGGGUAAUCCACCCCUGCUUGCUAUUGUCAUUAGCCCUAUUUUACAGAUAAGGAAAUUGAGGCACAGGAAGGGCAUGAUACCAGGCACUUCAUAGACAAGAGGAAAAAUAACAUGCUACUGAUUAGCUGUGUAACCUCAGGCAAACCCCCUUACCUCCCUGGGCCUGUUUCCCCAAGCUGGACCAGAUGAUCCCCAAAGUAUGUGUGCUGGCACCAUGAUUAGACCCCAGGAGAACAGAGGAGCAGAAUUCACACCCAGAUCUGUCUGACCAAUUCACUACCCAGAACCAGGACUAGGGUGAGGUAAGGGAGGCACCCAGUAAGUAAAAGUUAAGGAGGCGCUCACCCUCAAGCUUGAGGGCCGCCGCCUGAGCAGGAAAGCCUUCUUAAAUGUUUGCCCUGGGUGCCCCACUUGCCUUUUCCUCGUCUUGGCACCACCCAGCUCCUGUGUUGAAAGUACUGCGCUCAGUGUUGGGAGGGACACAAAGAUGACCAUGCCACUGCCCCGUCCCUCCCGGAGCUCUCGGUUCCACUGCAGAACCGUGCGUUGACACCCCACACAGCCACCUUGAUGGGCCUGCAGAGGCUGAAUCGCUGCUCCAAAGGUUGAUGGGAAAAAUUACAGCAUCACAGGGGUAAUGCCUGUAAAGUACUUAGCAAGUGCUUGGCGUCUGGUCAGUGCCCUAGAAUGCUAGCUGGUGUGGUAGUUGCUGUCACUAACAUACCUCUGACCUCACAUGCUGUGAGGCUGCAGAGGGCCUCACAGCAGUUUGGGGGACAUCCUUAUGCCUUGGCUGUGUGACUGGGAACUCCCACUCCCACUGCGCAGAAGGAAAAGGUCUGGGAUGAAGGGAAGCUGGACAUGCAGGCCCCCUCAGGCCUGCUGACCAUGUCCCGGGAGUCAUGGAUCCCAUCCGCAGAGCCCAGUACGGGCUCUGCUGUUGUCGUCAGGUGCCGUAGAGUCAGUUCUGACCCACAGCAACCCUGUGUACAACAGAGUGAAAUGCCACGUGAUCCUGCACCAUCCUCACAAUCAUUGCUCUGUUUGAGCCUACUGUUGCAGCCACUGUGUCAGUCCAUCUCAUCGGGGGUCUUCCUCUUUUUCACUGACCCUAUACCAAGCAUGAUGUCCCUCUCCAGGGACUGGUCCCUCCUGAUGACAUGUCCUGAGUAAGUGAGACAAGAUCUUGCCUAUCCUUGCUUCCAAGAAGCACCCUGGCUAUACUUCUUCCAAAGACUUCCAAACCCGCUGUAGCUCACAGAUUUCCACUGCCAGGCUGUGGACGGUCCAUGGCUGCUCUGUUAUCUCCAAAGCCAGCGUGAGUUUCUGUGCUCCCAGCUGUGAGAAAAUCCCUGAUGCAUGAUAUGCUUGGGGUCAAAGGCCAGCCAGGGAAGGGUGACCUGGGGUCCUUUCUGCUGCGUGGACAAUCUCCUGGUUUUCCCCAGCCAGGAGAAAGGACACUGUCAGUGACCUUGAGCAUAACCAGCUUGCUGGUUAUGCAGUGCUCAGGGGUGUGGGGCACUACCUGAUUCCUGGUAGGAGAAUUAGGGAAUCAGCUCUGAGAUUUCUGGAUGAAGAACAGAUGUAAUCACUUACAGAAAUGACAGGAGCCUUCUAGACUGGUUUGGUCAAAGGCCACGUGGAUUCUGCGCGUGGGUUGAACUUACCCACUUCUCUUAAUAAGCCUAGCCCAGGGGGCCCUGCCUCGGCGGAAGGCAGCUUGCUGGCAGCAUCAUAGGACCAAAGGUGCUCAUACCCCCCUAGCUGCUGCCAAUCCCCUCCCCCCCGCCCCCUGUACACAGAGUGCCUGGCACUCACCUGCUGGCAUGCCGGGAGCAGCAGCUGUCUCUGCUGCAAGGCCACCAUGGGUCUCAGAAGCCUGCGUCUUGGACUGUCUACCCAUAGCUUCAUGUGUAUGUGCUGGAGCCGUGACUGGACCCUGAGCUUGUUGAGCGCUGGGGCUUUACACUUUGAUUCUCACUUCCCCACCCCCUGCCACCUGAGCACCAGCCUUGGCUAAGGGUUGCUCAAUACAUAGUUGUUGAGGUGACAAACAGAACUGAAUCAAAGAGAAGCUGUGCAUGUGCCGUGUGUGUUGAAAUAGGAGGGGAAAGUCAUGCAGGGCCUAACUGCCCAAAAGUGAACAGAACUCUUCCGGAGUGGAUCUGAUCUCUUCCAUCUACUUUUUCAAUAAGAGGGAAGGAGGAAGUCUGAGUGGAAGGAAGCCAUGUUGUGUGGUCGGUCGCCAUUCUCUCCCUGCCUGGAAUCCACUGACAUGUGGUUCUAGAACACCAAACCUGAUCGUGUUUCACUCACCUCCUGAAGACCUUUUGUGAUCACGGGCGGCCCAGGGUCAUGAACCCAAAUGCUUUCAGGGACCUUGCAGGUAGCACAGAAGAGUGAAGUGGGCCAGGUAGAGGUCAGCACAAAAAGGCAGGCACUGGGUCAGAGUAAAAGGCAUAGGUCCAGUCUAAAGGCAUUCAAACAAAAAACAAACUAUUUUGGUUGGACUUCCAGUCCACUCUGCAGACUUCUGACCUACAGGAUUAAGUCCAAAUUCCUAGCCUGGUGUGGCAGUUCCUUGAGGGCUGGCCUCUACCUACCAGGCAUAUUUUGCUGGAAUCACUUCCGCCUCUGCCAUGUACGCCACACCAGUUGAACAGGACUGUCCCCUGAACCCCACAUGUACCAUCCAUCCUCUCUUCUCUCUCAUUCAUGUGCAGUUUGAAUCCACCAGGCACUUCUUGGAAACCCUAUGGGGCAGUUCCAGUCUGUCCUAUAGAGUCGCAAUGAGUCAGAAUUGACUCAAUGGCAAUGGGGCAAUAUGGGCAGGACAGAGUGGAAUUGCCCCACAGGGUUCCUAGGAGCACCUGGUAAAUUCGAACUGCCAACCCUUUGGUUAGCAGCGGGAGCUCUUAACCACUACACCACUAGGGCUUCUCUCCCAGGUUAGUACUUCCAAAAUGGAAUGAGUUGCUGCUCACUACUGCCCCUGGUGGCAGGUCCUUGCCACCGCUGGAAAGAACUGGUCUCUGGACAAUUUCAUAACAGGAAGCAGUUAAGUCAGCUUCUGUCCCAGGCAGGCAGUGUCACAGGUUCAGGGCCUCUUGGCCAACUUCUGACAACCUGUCCGCCUCCCUGGCUCAGCCCCAAUGCCUGGUCUGGAGAUCAGGCCUCUGUGUGCAACCUGGAUCCACUUCAUGCUAUUGUCUUGGUUUUACUUCUUGUGUCUUCUCUGGAAAACCUUCUCCAUCUUCCUGUGCCAGUGGCCUUGUGGCCCGUAGAGCAAUAUCCCAGGGAAUCUUUCUACUGCUUCCAGUAUUAAGCUUUCUUUGUCAGAGUUUGAACAUAAGAACAAAUUCUACUUUAAGGUGGCAUGGAGGAAGAAACAAACUUAUUGAAUGCCUUGUAUAUGCCAUCCAUUGAACCAAGUUUAUGUUAUAUAUGGUACCUUGUCUUCUUUAUUUCUCCCAACAACCCCACUUAAUAGAAACUUUUAUGCCCAUUUGACACAUGAGCAAAUCGAGGUCCCAGGAAGUUAAUUUGCCCGAGUUACACGGUAUAUUGCAAAACUGGGAUUUAAAGCCUGGUCUCAGCCCAUGUGUUUGCCAUACCAUGUUGCUAGACCAUUAGGUAAAGAGUAUGAAGAUUUUGUGUUAAGUGGCUUUUUUUUUUUUUAAUGAAGAUUUUGUGUUAAGUGGCUUAGCAACUUAGAUACAGAUACACUGGCCCUGUCUACCCUUCCAGAGUUUCAGAUUUUGUUUGUGAAAGACCACACGAGUAGAAUUAGUAACAGGGGCAUCUUUUUCCAUUCCAUUAGAAGGUGCUUCUUGGCACAAAUGCACUUCUCAUCCUCAAGAUACUUGUCUUCUUGCAGUUUUAUCACCAAUUUUUUCCUCUGGGGAAGGAAAAAAAUAAAAACCAACCUGUCAACAGGGAGGCGGCCAGGUUCACUAAAUUUAAAUAACUUUACUGGGCUCUUUUGUGUAACAGGAAAAAUGGCCUUAUUGGGAUUUCAAUAUAGUAGAGUGCGUGUGUGUUUAAGUAAUAGAGAAUAAAUGACCAUUCUAUGACAAAGGUGCGUGAAAUCUCUAGGACAGGUACUGGAUGAUGAUAUAUGAGUAGUCAGGUGUCUCAGGAUGGGUUCUUUAGAAAAGCAAAACCAGUGAAGUGUACAUAUAUAUACAGGGAGAAAGAGAGAGAUUUUUAUCAAGGAAAUGGCUUAUGCGAUUGUAGAGGUUGGAAGUCCCGGGUCCAUGGGUCAGGCGUCAGGCUGGAGGUUUCUUCUGACUCACGGAGCUCCAAGGGCUGAUAAACCCAAGAUCGACAGAUAAGACAGCAGGCUACUGGCUCAUGGGCUGCAGAGGCUGACAAAUCCACAGUCAGCAGGUAACUUGGCAGGCAGCUGCUCAAGUCCCAAGAGCCAAAGGUCAGGUGAUGAUGAGAGAGAUGCAGGAUCCAGAGCGAGCAAAAACCAGUGAGUUUGCCACAAUGUCCGUAUAUAAUGGAUGAAGGCUACACCUCCAAGAAAACUUCCCUUACAACUGAUUGGCUGAUCACAUCAGAUCACAUCAUGGAGAUGAUUACAUUAUAUCACAAAAUGGAGGAUAACUACAUUAUUACAUAACUGCCAAACUACAUCAGUACAUAACUGCCAAACCACUGAGAAUCAUGGUCCUGCCAAAUUGACACACAACCUUAACCUCAGGUUAGGCUAGGAUAUGAUGCAGUGACAAGUAAACCCCAAUAUCCUAACAUAAACAAAGCAAGGUUUAUUUCUUACUCUCAUAAGAGUCCACUGAAGGGUAACAGCUCUCCAAGAUAGCUUUACUCCAAGCUGUGACUAAGGGAUCCAGGCUGCCUGAAUUUUGUAGCUAUAUGAUCUGAAACCAUUGGCUUUCAGGUUGCUGGGGCAGAGGAAAGGAAAUUAAAGGGACACAUACACACACUUUAAAUGUGUCGCUUCAUCUCCCAGCCCGUUGGUCAGAACCAGCCAUAUGGCUCUGCCUCACUGCAAGGGGCCUGGGAAACAUGGGGGAGCACAUGAGAGUUUGGUGGAUAGUACAUGUUUCUGCCCAGCUGAGCCCUGGACUCAUCCCUACUUCUCUUGGCUUUGCUUUUCUUCUCUGUUCAGUGAAGUAACCAGCUCCAACAUGCUCUUGCUCUUCCAGAAUGAGGACAUGGCCCUUGAAGCAGGAAUAAGAGCCAGAAAAAGUAUCAGUGGCCAGACCUGAAUGGAAGCUUCUUGACACUUAACCUAGAGCUGGUCAGUACACACUUACUGAGCUCCUUGUCUGGAUGUCCCACCCUAGACCCCAUGAGAGAUAUGAGGACGAAUUAAAUAUGUCAUUCCAGAGUUCACCACUCAUAUCUGUUGGGCUGACCACUGACUGGCCGUGGUACCUGUGGUGAUGGCUCAUACAAACCCUACCUGUCCUCAGGGGUGUCCCUAUGCUUUGAGUUGGUUUGGAGCGGUGGGGUUGGUGUGCAUCUAUUCAGCUUCCCGCAUUGGUCUUUUUGUGGACGGAGGAGGUUUUUGCAAGAUAACUUGCUGGGUUAGGGAGCCGCCCUGCUGAUCUGCUAAGAGAGGGACUCCAGGCCUUUGGUCCCAUUACUGCCAUGGCCUUGUCAGCUGAGCAAACCAGAUCCAAUGUCACCAAGCUGUUCACCCUUCCCCUGAGCUACAACUCUUUCCCUGUGCUGGUGCCCCAACUCACCUCCACCCUGUGCUCCUUUCUGAGGCACAGGAGAAGGCAGCAGGGUUUGAGACCAGAUCUUAAUCACGUGUUACUCUGGUCAGAUCUUCUGCUCCUGGUUUGUGGGCCACCAAGCCUCUUACUCAGUUCUUAUGGGACCUGAGAGGCAGAAAGGGUAGAGGCUUGAAUUCUAAUUCCAACCAUGUGUUCCAUCAGCUGCACGACCUUGGGGAAGUCACUUAACCUCUGUGAGCUUUAGUUUCUUUAUCUAUACAAUGAGAUGGUUGGACUGACUAAGCCAGUUCCCUCCCCCACCCCCACAAAACUGCAGAUCUCGAACCAUUGUAGGUUGUAAAAUCAUUUUAGUGUGUCAAACCAGUGUUGUUUAAUGUACAGAAUAGAAUGGAACAUAACAGAACAUAUCAGAGCGCAGAUGAAGCAGUCAGGAUAAGACUGUUCUUCAGGAAACUUUCAGUUGUGUUUGUGUAUGUGUGCAUAUUAGAUUGUGAUAUACAAUGUAUUUCUCACCGGAAGUUAUAUUUUUUAAAAAGUUUGAAGAACGUUAGACUAGACUAGGGAUUAACAGACUUUCUCUGUAAAGGGUUGUUGUUGUUAGGUGCCGUCAAGUUGACUUUCAACUCAUAGUGACCUCAUGGGACAUAAUAGAAUGUCCGGCAGGGUUUUCUAGGCUGUAAUCUUUACGCGAGCAGGUUGCUUGAUCUUUUCUUCUGUGGAGCCACUGGGUUUGAACCUUUUGGUUAGUAGCUGAGUGGUUAACUGUUGUAGAGGGCUAGAUAGUAGAUAUUUUAGGCUCUGCAGGCCAUACAGCCUCUGUCACAACUAAGAAUUACUCUGCCAUUGUAGCACAAGAGCAGCUGUAGACAAUAUGUAAGUGAAUGUGCAUGGCUGUGUUCCAAUAAAACUUUAUUUACAAAAGCAGGUAGCAGAUCAGAUUUAGCCCAUAGGCCAUCAUUUGCCAAACUCUGGACUAAACCAUCUUAUCCCAGGGAGAGGGGAAGCCGUCGACAUGUGUAAUGUAAGAAAGGAUAUUGAAUAUGUUUUCCUAGAAAACUAACUACAGAAAAUAAAACAACAAAAUCUUCAUAUCUGGUGGGGAAACACCAAGAAUAGACAGAGGAAGCAGGGGUGGGGUGGGGAGGGAAGUGAUUGACUCAGUUUUAAAAGCUUUGUAUCAAAUCAGAGGUGGAAAACGUGUGGCCUAGGACAAGAAGGAGAUCCAAGGAUGUGGAUUUUUUUUUUUUUUUUUUUUUUGGUCUAGGCUUACACAGUAUUGUUGCUGUUUUUAAUCAAGACUACACUUAAAAAUCGGAAGAUUUCAUAUAAAAUAUGGAUCUCAAGAGCGUCUAGAAAAUUUAAGAUCCGGCAGGCUUUUUAACGCGUUUGUGUGUGGCAGCUGUUAGCUGGGUUGGCAGCAGCCACAGGUCUGCAAGUCCCUGUUCCCACAGUCCCAGCCACUUUCUGUGCUUCCUCAGUCUGCCCCAUUCCCUCCUUCUACUGCCUGCCCUGACUCUAUUGGUAUUUGGGUUUUUAAUUCUGGACUGUUUGACUGUUACAUCCCUUCAAGUUCCCAGAUCCUACAAUUUGGUAUCAUUUCCUACCUGCCAUGUGAUCUCACAAAGUUAUGCAUCUGCCCUGAACCUCAGUGCCCUCGCUUGUAAAAUGGGACCCCUUUUACUCAUAUGAAAGGAACAUUUUGAAGAUUAAGUAGAAUGGCACAUAAAAACAGCUUUUAAAACACAAAGCCCUUUACAAAUGUAAAAGAAAUAACAAGAGCCAAACUGGGCUCCACAUUUAAGGUUUUAAUUGAGUUUAUGGUAAAAUGUUUAUUUUUAAAGUAAAAAGAAGAUGGUAUUGGAGAGAGGCCACCACCUGUCCAUCAGUUUGUUGUACUGUGGCUGCUUGCAUGUUGCUGUGAUGCUGGAAGCUAUGUCAUGGGUAAUUCAAAUACCAGCAGGGUCAUCCAUGGUGGAUUGGUUUCAGUGGAGCUUUCCAGACAGAGACUAGGAAGAAAGGCCUGGUGAUAUACUUCCCAAAAUCAGCCAGUGGAGACCUUAUGGAUCAAAACAGAACACUGUCCGAGAAAGUGCUGGAAGGCCAGCCCCCUAGGUUGGCAGAUACCCAAAAUACACAACAGCUACAACAAUGGACUCAAACAUGCCAGAGACUAUGGGGGUGGUGCGGAACCCGACAGCAUUUCGUUGUGUUGUACAUGGUGUCUCUAUGAGUCAGAGUCAACUCGAUGUCAGCUAAUAACAGACAACAAUUAAGAGAGCAGACCCAACAGAAAUGCCACCCAGCUGGCCUGGGAAGGACCUCCCCUUCAGAUUCAGAGUAAUUCAGCUGUAUCCAGACCUCCCACCAGCAAACAUACACUGUCUUACCCUCUGAAAUGUCCUCAGUCAAGAUUCGGAAGAUUUUGAAAAAGAGCUGACAAUUAUUUUCUCUAGAGACCUAUAAGCUGCUUUUGGGUGGAAAUUAGCCAACCAGCCAUGCUCGCUUUCCUUAACCCACGCACUCGGCAACAUCCUGGAAAAGUUGAUCAGCAACUCAACCCUGGAAGCUGGGGUCUUUAAUCUGGGUUUCAGGGAACCCAGAACACUCCCUUUGGCUCUGAAAUGACCAGUGAUCUUUGAUGGCCUCAUUGUUCCCCCAAUUAUGAAGUGGGCUAGAAACAUGUAAGAGCUGUAGGAAAUUUAGAAACAAAUGCUGAACAUUCAAGAAGAAAGGCUGAGUGCAUUGACCAGCAACGGUCAAUGCAAUGGGCCGAAUCUUCUAUCUGGAUUGAGUCGGGAGACCCAAGGCUGUGGCUUCUCCCAUCUGCACAUGGUGGGACCACCCAUGCGAGCCUUUACCUCAUUUGCAGAGAUGAAAUGAAUAGGAGGGAAAGGGGGCUUUGAACGCUUGGCAGGAAAAAGGCAUCUUAGCACACAGGUCUGUAGUUAAAUUUUUUGGCUCUAAGUACAGCCCUCAAUUGUCCCUCCUAAUGUUAUGCAGAGGGGCGGUCCUGAUGAUCUGAAAGUCCACCCAACACUUAAAAACAAUCCACAGCGUAUUUACCUUUCUUACAUCUUGUAGAAUACCAUUACAGUUUGGUUUUGCAUUGAGCAUCCAGUCUGGCAUAAAGAAAAUUAGCAUUUAACAAGCCCCUAGUUAUUGCCAGGCGCUAAUGAUGUGUGAGCACAACAAUAGUAACGCUAAUGGCUAACAGAGCGAGCAGCCGAUUCUCAGCACCACACAGGCAUUAACUUCCUUUGCCUGCUGCCUACCAGGUUGUUACCAUUACUUUCCAGAAAAAAAAAAACAAAAAACAGUUACCGUCAAGUAGAUUCUGACUCAUGGGAACCGUAUGUGUGUUAGAGUAGAACUGUGCUCCAUAGGGUUUUCAAUGGCUGAUUUUUGGAAGUUGAUUGCGAGGCCUUUCUUCUGUGGCACCUCUGGGUGAAUUCGAACCCCCAACAUUUCAGUUAGCAGCCAAGCGCAUUAACCAUUUGCACUACCCAAGGACUCCAUCAGGUCCAGCUGAUUCUUAAACCAGUGCUCUCUGCGAGGUUGGCAGUAUGUGGAGGGAUGCAGAAAUGGUCAGGGGUUACCUGCCAGUUCUAGUUGAAAGCUUUUUGUGUAUUCAACUCGGCCUGUACAUUCCGUGUGCUUUAGAAGUGUUACGGAUGCUGGACAUUUUAUUUAUUCGUACAAGAAAUACUCGAAUACCUACUGUGUGUCAGACACUGUGUUAAAAACCAGGGAUACUACAGUGGUGAGUGAGAUACUACCCUCAGUCUGGACUUGUUUAUUUCUUCAUGGACGUUUCUAGAUAUUUUUAAAAUAUCCUUGAAAGGUAACUUAAGAAGAACCUCAAUCCCAACACCUAGCCCAGGGAUGUCAUGUGUUUGAGUUUGGCUCUGGAAACACUGCGUGUGGCAGAUGGACUCUGCUCAGAAAGUAAAGACCCUCCUUAACCGACAGAUCCUGUGAUUCCCCAGCCGAGCGUUUGUUGGUUACCAACUUUGCUCUUUCCUGUGGUGAAUGGUCAGUCAAUGAAUGUUAAAGCCAAUGUCUGAGAUCAUCUAGUCCAACCCCUUGGGCUUUACAGGAGAGGAAACUGAGGUUCCCUCUGCUACUUUAAGAUGUUCCCAUUUUAAUGCUAAAUCCAGAAUAAGUGAUAUCAAUGAUAGAAACAGUACUAUUCCCUCCCCUAGACUUACAAUAAAGAGACAAAAAAACAAAACAAACUCAUUGCCAUCAAGUCGUUCCAACUCAUAGCCACCCUAUAGGAUAGAGUAGAACUACCCCAUAGGGUUUCCAGGGAGUGGCUGGUGAAUUUGAACUGCUGACCUUUCGGUUAGCACCCAGGCUCUUAACCACUGAGCCACCAGAGCUGCAUUAAAGAAUCGAGGAUAUAAUAUUUUACCACUCAUAAUCCUUUACACCUUUGACAGUAUGUCUUUUCAUUUGACUCUGGUGGCUUUGUCGUUAUUUUGCUUGUUUCUUAGUAUUGGAAUUUUGACAGAGCUAAUCAUUUCAGGCAUUUUGGGGGGAUAUAAAUCUGAGGAAGUAAGUCUAUUAACUACUGUUUUGGUGAACUUCACCCUUUAUAGCUCAUGACUUAAAUUUCGGCAUUUGGUCCCUAGAAAAUAAUAUUGUGACUUGAUUGUCUCAGUGGAGUAGAGGACUUGGUUGUAGUCCUUCAACCAGAUGCCAGUGAGUUGACUCCAACUCAUGGUAACCUCAUGUGGGUCAUGGUAGAACCGUGAUCCCUCGGGUUCUCAGUGGCUGAUUUUUCAGAGGUAGGUCACUAGGCCUUUCUUCUGAGGCAUUUCCAGGUGGACUCCAACCUCUCCAACCUUUCAGUUCACAGCCGAGCCUGUUACCCAUUUGUCCCCAACCCUCCACCUUUAAUUUGCAGGAGUAACAGGUACUUGCAUGUACUUUUGAGAAAAAAAAAAAUGCUGUUGGUUCCUCCCAGCUCAUCUGAUACACCUGCAAUUCAGGUGGCCUCGAGGACAGCAGACACUACUCACCAUCAUGACCCUUUUAUCCCAGCCUCCCAUCCCAUCUCGCCCUCUUCCCCUGCCCUGGUUCCCAGGGUAGGUGUCGCCAGCAUCUUGGCAGCCCCCGGCCUUUCUGCUCUGCUAGGCCCCCAAGGAAGUUGGUGCCUAAAACCGUUGGCAUCUGUAAAAAGCUGUCAGGGACUCUGGCUUCCCUCAAAGCUCUGUGUCUGUGCUGAACAACAUAGCAGAGACCGCAUGCUGUAGAAACUACCCGUGUGCAUAGUAGGUGCGCAAUACCUGCCCAUGGAAUUUCUGAGGCAGGCAGCACCAAUGGAUCCACAAUGACCCUUAUUCGGGAUGAAAGCUGUCGGAGACUUGACACCUUGGUAAUUUGACACCGUGUGCUAUCUGUAACCCUAAGUGCAGGUUAACAGUGAGUGCUUGAGUUAAUCAUGAGACUAGCUAGUGGUUACCUGAGAACCAAAUCUUUUCCCAAGAGGGGAAGGGGAGGGAGAGAGAAAGACAGGGAGGGAUGGAGGGAUGGGGGAAGGAUGAGAAUUUAUUAAAUUGCAGGAGCUAAAAAAUAAAGAACUUUUUUUUUCAUCUUUCAAAAACGUGGGGGACUUGCUUGAAAGAGUUAUAAAAACAAAACAAACACCUACAACUGGAAGUUACGGUAUGUGAACACAGGUGCGCACACACACGGCCCAGCUGAAAAGUUUAGUAUUUCUGAGUCUUUUGUUUGAUGGUGAUUAGGUGUUUGUAUACAACUUUAACCAUAGCACACUGAAGCUGAUGCUUUGUUUUGUUAAGUUCCAAGUUACAGAUAUUAAACUCUGUAGUCAAGGCUUUUAGUAAAUGAAAAGGCUACAUGUUUUUAUAGUGUUUGGUGGUUAGUUUAAAAUAACAACCCAUGAAAGAAGUCUUAAUUCUCGGUUUGCAGAAAGAGGCUAUUUAUUGCUAAUUACCUACUUUAUUGGCGUCCCUGCGUGGUGCAAAUGGUUAACGCCUCUGCCACCAUCUGAAAGGUUGGAGGUUCCAGUCUACCCAGAGUCGCCUCAAAAGAAAAGCCUGGAAACCCACUUCUGGAAAAGCAGCCAUUGAAAACCCUAUGGACCACAGUUCCAUUCUGACAUACAUGGGGUCCCCAUGAGUUGGAAUCAACUCAUUGGCAACUGGUUUUACCGACUUUAUUAAUUAUUGAGUACCUGUAGUAAAAUUCUUGGGGCAUUUUGGGCAGAUUGUCGUUUUUAAUAAGGUGAUUACUAAAGUAAACAUUUUCUUGCCAAUUUCUCGUAAUGACCUUUUUUGCCAAAUGGGGUUUCAUACGUCAGGACUUGAAAACAUUCCAUAUGAACAGAAUUUGACACAGGGUUGCUGGGAACACAAAAGGAAUGUUUUUGUUUUAGAAGAGAAGUGGAGACAGGAAGGAAGCAGAGAUGUUUAGUAGUUCUCCCUGCCACCUACCCCGAAUGCGCAUUGGGAGAAGAGGGCUACAUUCUACGCCAUCUCUCUCUUUCUGUUUGGAUAAGCCAAUGUAGAACUUUCUGCUCUUCUGGUAUAAGUAUGUGGCCUGAAAGAUAUUUCAUACACAGGCAGGGGUCAGAAGGCCUGGGGUCACCCAGUUCAGCCACCACUUCCUGCUGACUUUGAGUGGGAUAUUGGUGCUCUCUCUGGGCCUCUGUUUCCUUGCUUAAAAAGUGGAGGUGGUCUGUGUCCCCCGGCCACUUAGUUCCUCUCUGUCUGUCAUGGGGUUCGCUGUGCUCACCCCAGGAUGGCAGGACUUCUGCAGGUAAGGACUAUCUGCCAGAGGCCUGCCAGCGCCCUGGCUCCCUCGGAGCGCCCUGUUGAUUCAGAACAUUCUGGAAGUCUUGUGCAAAAGGACUUGACUUUCCACCGAAAUCGCCGCACAGAACAGUUGUGACCUUGUUGAGCAAACAGGUCGCUGUGCACCGCUCCAGCAGGGUCAAAGGGCUGCCUGUCCAAGGGAGCGGAUCCCAGCACAGUGGGCCUGCGGCUCAUUUACAAGGAAGCGAGAAGGGGAAAGAGAAAGGAUGGCAGGCCAGGGAGAGCUGGCAGGUUCUGCUCCGUGGGCCUGGCUGGAGAAGCUAAUGGGUCACCUCGGCGAGGGGACAGAACUCUAGGGUUGCCCUCCACCCCUUCUCCUCUGGAAUGCAGUGUUUAUUCACUGCUCUGUGGAUCGCUGUUUCUCUUGGAAAAUCACUUUUUCCAGGGCUGGAGGAGGCUGGCAGGUUGUUCCCUCCUUCUCCCCUACCCCAGUUAGAGAUCUUGGGACCAGAGGUGGCAGCAGGAGAUGCUUUUGGAAAAGAGAUGGAAGUGAGCCUGGAAGUGGUGCUGGGAACUUCAGAGAGCUCAGUCAGGACUGGAACACCCUGUCCUUCCCCCUUCCCUGUUCUGAGCCUGGGAAGGGGGCGGAGACUCUGGGACGUGGGGACUGGAAAGUGAAAGCCGCCAAGCAAAGUGAACCAGAUUUCCCCUCCCGGCCCCCAUCCUACCCCUAACAAACAACCCGAAAAUGACACCAGGAGCAAAGAUGCGAUGCAAGCGUCACUUAGGUCGGUAGGUGGUCUGAACCCGACUUUUCGGUUUAAGCAUCUGGUGUCUUUUUGUUAGAGACAGUGAUGGCGGCCCCAGUCCCUCCUCAGGUUCAGGGCUCUUGCUCAUCUCAAGACCAGGGUUUCUCAGCAGCAGCCAGAGCAGUCUUUGUUGUGUCCAGUGCUCCCCCGAACCCCUUGUCAAAAGAAAAAACAACUUAUAGCAGCCCCAUGUGUAUCAGAGUAGAACUGUGCCCCACAGGAUUUUCAAUGGCUGAUUUUUCAGAAGUAGAUCACCAGGCCCUUCUUCUGAGGUGCCUCUGGGUGGACUCAAACCACCAACCUUUCGGUUAGCAGCCAAGUGCAUUAACUGUUGGCACCACUCAGGGACUCCCCAAUGUCUCCAGACGUUGCCAGGUGUCCUGUAGGGCGGAAAAUCAUCUUAUCCUCCCCCCUCCCCGUCCCGUUGAGAACCUCUGGGCUAAAUCACUUCCCCUAUUUUGUUUUCUUCACAGCUCUCUUCACUCUCAAAAUGAUCUUGUUUUUUCCCUUGGUCAGUGCUUCUCAGCCCUGGCAGCACAGUCACUUGAGAAGCUUUUAAAGUCCCAGUGCCUAGAACACAACAGAGAACCCCUGAGGGAGCAGGAGAGCAGUGGGCUGCAGACCCCAAAUUCUCAUAAAAAGACCAGACUUAAUGGUCUGACUGAGACUAGAAGGACCCCAGUGGUCCCGGCCCCCAAACCUUCUGUUGGCCCAGGACAGGAACCAUUUCCGAAGCCAACUCUUCAGACAGGGAUUGGACUGGACGAUGGGUUGGUAAGGGAUACUGGUGAGGAGUGAGCUUCUUGGAUCUGGUGGACACUUGAGACUAUGUUGGCAUCUCCUGCCUGGAGGGCAGAUGGGAGGGUAGAGGGGGUUAGAAGCUGGCAAAAUGGACACAAAAAGAGAGAGUGGAGGGAGGGAGCGGGCUGUCUCACUGCGGGGAGUGUAACUGGGAGUAUGUAGUAAGGUGCAUAUAAGUUUUUGUGUGAGAGACUGACUUGAUUUGUAAACUUUCAUUUAAAGCACGAUAAAAAUUAUUUUAAGAAGUCCCAAUGCCUGGCCCCACCUCAGUAAUUAAAUCAGCAUUUCUGAGAUGGGGUCUGAGUACCUGAACUUUUUAAAAGCUUCCCAGGUUGUUCUAGACAGCCUGGGUUGAGGACUCCUGCUCUCUACCCCCUGAAGGGUAAGCCAACUGAGGCCUUGUACACAGUUGUGUUCGUCAGUAAACAGAAUAGUGCCCGGCGUAUAGUAGGAACACAGUGAAGAUUUACUGAGUGAACAAAUGCCCCAGGAAACCCAUCAUCACAGGUAGAUGUUUUUGGUAGGGAUUCUUUAAUUCAACAAACCAUUCAUUAAGUGCUUGCCUUGUGUCAAGAUAAGGAGCCCUUGGCUGCUGGUUCGAACCCACCAGCUGCUCUGCAGGAGGAAGAUGUGGCAAUCUGCUUCCAUAAACAUUACAGCCUUGGAAACCCUAUGGAGCAGUUCUACCCCAUCCUGUAGGGUCAUUAUGAAUCGGAAUCAACUCGAGGGCAACAGUUUAUUUUUCAGACAUGUCAGAUGGGGUGAGAAAUUCUGGAGAUGUAGAUGAGUAAAACUUGACCCUUGUUUUCUAGCAGCCUCUGUCUCCUGGGAGGCAAAUAUGCAAAUACACAGGGCUGUCCUUAUAAUGCGAUAAUUGCUAGACUGGCUGGUGUCUAGAAAGCAGCUGGAAGAUAGAUUAAGUAGUUCUUAAAAAGACCCUCCAGCUUCUCUGUGUAAAGCAUUUUAUUUACAUUUUCAUACUUGACUCUCCUCACUACCCUGUGGAGUAGGUGAGGCUUGGGUUUUCCACUAAGGAAACUGAGGCUCUGGGAGGUUAAAGAACUCCCCUGAAGUCACCCACCAAUAUGUAGCACAGGCUGGAUUCAAACCCAGGUCUCUCUGGAAAGCCCGGUAUCUUUCUACCUCAUGACGCUCUGUCCUAGAACAGAGGGCUCCGGAUUUCCUUGUGCACACGCAGCCCGGCCUGCCUUACGCACACGGAGGACCGAGGGCCAGAGAAGUGGGUCCUGAAUACCCCUGCUGCCAUUAACCAAAUGUAGACGAUUACCCUCCAUGGGUUUCCUGCCCCUUGAAGGUUUCCGAUGAAGGCCCUUCUCUCUCUUUCAUCCUAUAAAACCAGAAAUCGGAUUGUCUUAGUUUGGGUUUCCCAGAAGCAGACCCAAGACAAAGAUUCCAACGUGAAUAGGUUAUUUGGGGCAUGAAAGAAGCACUGGUAGGGGAGCCAGGGAAUGCAACAGGGAGGAGAAACCAAAACCAAAUCUGUUGCCAUCAAGUAGAUUCUAGCUCAUAGCGACCCUAUAGGACAGAAUGGAGCUGCCCCAUAGGGUCUCCAAGGCUGGUGUGUUCAAACAGCUGACCUUUCAGUUAGCAACCGAGCUCUUAACCACUGUGUCACCAAGGCUUCUUCAGGGAACAGACGCAGCCUGACCAAACCUCUUGCCGUCGAGUCAAUUCCAACUAAUAGCUACCCUACAGGACAGAGCAGAGCUGCCCCAUAGAGUUUCCAAGGCUGUAAACCUUACAAAAGCAGACUGCCACAUCUUUCUCCUGUGUAACAGCUGGUGGGUUCAAACAGUCAACCUUUCGGUUAGCAGCUGUUGAGCAAUUCCGACUCAUAGCAACCCUGUAGGAUGGAGUAGAACCGCCCCCAUAGGGUUUCCAAGGAGCGGCUGGUGGAUUCAAACUGCUGACUGUUUUGAUUAGCAGCCAAACUCUUAACCAUUGUGCCACCAGGGUUCCUCAAGGAAGAGAAGGCACCAGUAAAUGGUGCAUUACCCGUAUCAAGCAAGUUCCCACUGUGGGCAGCAGGAGUAUAAUCGCACUGGGGGCUCUGGGCAGCAGUGCAGAGUGCAUGCCUCUCAGAGUUAUCCCGUUUGCGUGUUGAGAGAGACGUGGUACUUACUCACCAGCUCCCAUCAAUCACUGGCUGUGGGCUGCUGCCAGAGGAGGCAUAAUUCCCCUGCACUUCAGGCCUACCACCAGGGAGUACAGUGGGCAUCGGAAACCAGAGAGAGCCCCCAGGCAAGGACACACAGGUGCCUGUGGUUAGCAGUGACGUGCUGUGUAGCGGGAAGGGCAGGGAGGCAUGAGCGGGUGCCAACAGCAUCUAUGCCCAACACAAAGGAACCCCUCUCAACUAUAAUUCUUUAAUUUUCAGUCCCAUUUAUUGAGCACCUAUUGUAUAUAAUGCUGUAUGCUAGUUUGAAGGUUUGAAAUAGAAAGUAAGACUCUCUGUCUUUAAGGAGCUGAGGUCAUGAAUGGAUCACCCUGUAUAAGCAUCAUCCCUCGUCAGACAUCCGCAUCAGAACGUCUAAGUCCCAACUCCUUGGUACAGGAUUCACGGCUCUCCAAGAUCGGGACCCAGCCUGUCUUAGUCAUCUACUGCUGCUGUAACAGAAAUACAACAGGUGAGAAAACUGAGGCUGAAGAGGUUAGUUAAUUGACCUGACGUCACCCCGAUCUGUCGAAUUCACAAUCAGAAUCUUUAGGGAACAAAUGAGAGCGUGAUGGUCAAGAGAUGGAAGCAUGAAGGCCCCAGCCCCCUGGAAAGUGUUAAGAACAGAGACAAGAUGAAAGAGGGAAGAGCUGGGGCUCCUGGCAGUGUGGCUGCUGGAGCCAGAAGAUUCCACUCAAUAGAGUAGAGUGAGGUGCUAAGUGCAGGAACAAAGGGGCCUCUCUUAACUGGGUUCUGGUGUCCGUGGGGAGAGCAGCUUUGACCUCAGGGUCAAAAGCACAGACCCAGGGCUGGGAGAGAAUAAAACAAAAAUUUUCUGUUUCUUCAGGAACUGGAGAGUGUGUGUGUGUGUGUGUGUGUGUGAGAGAGAGAGAGAAGGUGUGUGUGAGAAAGAGAGGUGUGUGUCUGUGUGAGAGAGAAGAGAAGGGAGGGUUGUGUGUGUGUUUGUGUGUAUGUGAGAGAGAGACACCAGGAGAGACUGGGAAAGAGAAUAUCCUCAAGCCAGCUUGGCCUGAGUCAUUAUGUGGAAUAAGGUUGAGAGGUCUGAUUAGAAGAGAAACCAAAACCUGUGAAGAACGGAAAACCAAGAGACCCAUGGGCAUUUCCACCAGGGUCCCAGCUAAACGAAUAGCUGGAGAUGCUGUCCCUAUACCACACCAUAUUUAGCUGGAGAGUCCCUCAUGCCAUGGUGACAUAACUGCGUGGGGACAUGGACUGUAGGCCAUGUAGAGACAGCCCUCGUGGACAUGGGGUUAAGUGAGGUUCCACAGGAUGACAGAGUAGGCUGCCCUGGACGUGGCAGGGGGGAUCCGUUUGAUCUCCGAUAUUUUCCCCAGCCCUUGAUAAGUUUGCUGAAUGGUGUAUGGAAAUUUUUGGGCCCCUGGAAGGCUAAUUCCAGGGUGUUCUCUUUGGGAAGAUAAACAGAGGGCGAUGGGUUUGGCUCUAACAGGGUCUUAUGGGCUGGUUUUUUAUUUUACACAGAGUACACAGGAGAUGACAGGAAAUAAUUUAUUUACCCACGACAAAUUGAGAGUUAUCUUUUUUUUUAACAGUCAUCAAAACACUGCAUUUCAACAAAAAGUUAGAAAAUAUUUACUUAACUAAGUCAGACACUGAACAGAAUAUUAUACAACUACCUAAAUAAUUGGAAACCCUGGUGGCACAGUAGUUAAGAGCUAUGGCUGCUAACCAAAAGGUCGGCAGUUUGACUCCAUCACGCGCUCCUUGGAAACCCUCUGGAACAGUUCUACUCCGUCCUAUAGAGUUGCUAUGAGUCUGAGUCGACGGCAACGCAUUUGGGUUUUUUUUUUUCUCUAUCUAAAUAGUGGUUAUGAGGACUGUGUCAUAAAGAGAGGUGUUUCCUAUGGGACAUUGCGUAAAACAAGCAGAUGCUGAGUAGAGUAACAGUUUUUUAAGGAAUCCAGAUGUGCUACAAGACAGAGAGGUUAAGUAAGUGGCCCAAAGUCAUACAACUGGUAAGUGGGUGAGCCAGGACUGAAACCAGGCAGAUUGAUUCCAGAGUGUGUCCUCUUAACCACAGCCACGCUCUUCUGCCGAGGGCAUUUUAUGAUACAUAAAAAAAAACAAACCCAGUGCCGUCUCCAAAUCUGCAAAGUUUUUACCCACUUGCAUUUAAACAAGGCCUUUUACUCUAUUAAAGAGCUUUAAAAAUUACAACAGUGCUUAGAGUUGAGUGGUGGAACUAUGGAUAGUUUUUUUUUCCUUUACAUUUCAAAAUUUCUCUAAUGUACUUAAAAAAAUAUACUUACGUUCCUUUUUUUAGACUAUGUUACAGGUUGUUAAUUGAUAUCAAGUUGGUUCCAGCUGGUGGCGACCCCAUGUGCUGGGUCCUGUGCCAUCUUCAUGGUCACGGUUUUGGUUAGUGGCCCUAGGCUGGCCAAAGGAAUGGCAGGAGCAAAUCAGGAAAGGUGAUCUUUGCAAUUUUGAUGCUAAGACAGCGAAUGUGUCACUCUAGACAGGGAGGAUCUGCACAUGGGGGACUUUAGCGUGUUGAGCUUUGGGGAUGACUGAACGUCCAAAGGAAGGCCCACCUGAGCAGCUGGUACCAGACUCUGCUCUGAUCUUUAGCCCCAUCCUGGAAGUCAUCUGAGGCGUGGACAGUUCUUUAAUAAGCUAAUCCCGCUGCAACCCCAACAGCUUCCAAACACCUACCCUAUUUUCCAAAACAAGAACCAGUUUAGUACGGUCACCUGCUGGUCGCCCAGUUUGCAUUUGGUGGUCAGAGCUGACCAGGGUACAAUUCAGCUAAAUUAAUUUUGCAAAUUUCUAGCGGGUGUACAUGUGGGAGGAGCUCUGGUGGCGCAGUGGUUAAAGCGCUCAGCUGCCAACCCUAGGGUCUGCGGUUGGAACCCGCCAGCUGCUCCUUGGGGAAGAGAUGUCAUAAUCUGCUUCCAUAAAGACUGACAGCCUUGGAAACCCUAUGGGGCAGUUCUACUCGUCCUAUAGGAUCGCUGUGAGUAGGAACUGACUCCAUGGCAAUGGUUUAGUUUGUUUUGUUUUUUAUACAUGUGGGGAAUGAGGUUGAGAAUUUGGGAUUUAAAAACGCAUUUCAGAAAUGAUACCACAUUAGGGCUUCAUUUCAGUCCCUUGGGUUGGCCACCAAGUAAACAGCUUCGUUUCCAUCCCUGCUGGAGGCACUGAAUGCAGCUUCCACACUUGCCAACAGAUAAAUGUCUCCUGUCUCUGCCGGUGCUUAAUGGCUUUUAGUGGAAUUAAGGCUGGGAAGAAGGGAACUGACCUCCUUAUACUGGUGAAAUUGAAACACAGUGGAGACAAUUCCAUUCCAGACAGACCUCUUCCCUCUCAGAUUACCGGCAGCCCAGCCAACUCCCUUUCAGCCUGUUCAGGUAAAGUGCAAGACAGAGGCCACCGGACUCAGGGCCCGGUGGAAGAGACUAAUGUCAAGCUUUGUGUUUGGGAUUUUUCAGCAGAGAGGAGAUUUGCAUUUCUAAUGAAGGCCACGCAGGGUGUGCUUCAGCCCAGUGGCCCCGCGUCUCUCAAUUCUCCAACGGCUCAGUUUCAGGGAACAACGGGAUGUCUUCAGCAUAAACAAAUAGCUGUGGGAAGAGAAGGAAAGGCACAGGAUAGCGGGGGUUAGGGGUGCUUCCUGGUGGGAGCCUUUAGAGUGGUGGUGUAGCCGGUUGUGAGCGCUCCGCUAACCCUCCUCAGCCCUCACUUGCCCUUUGUCUCUGUAAAACCAGUUGCUGUCCGGUCACUUCCGACUCACGGCAACCCCGUCCCGUGCGCGGCAGAGUAGCACUGCACUGCAUAGGGUUUUAAGUGGCCGCUUUUUCAGAAGUGGCUUCCCCAGGCCUUUCUGUCGAGGCGCCUCUGAGUGGACUCAAACCUGCAACCUUGUGGUUAGUAACCAGUUGUACCACCCAGAGACGCCUUUGUCUCUGUGAGAAAAACUUACUCAGUGUUACAGUCUGAUAUUUUGAGAUUUAUUGCUGUUUCUCUGAGAAGAGAUUAUCCAGGCGUGUCCUUCCCGGCAUUGUUUAUACAGCGGAAAAUUGGGGAAAGAAAAACAAUGUCCAAACAGAGGCAAAUGGUUAAAUAAAUCAAUGAUUAAAUAAAUGAAUGGUUAGGUAAAUAAGUGGUAGAAACCUUAAGUCAUGCAGUAAGUCUGUUUAGGAACGUGAUAAGGAAAAAAAAAGUGUUAAAUGAAUAAGGAAGACUACAUACUAUACAUAGAGUUUUUAGUUAAAAAGAAAAAUGCACACACAAUACGUGUGCACAGGUGGAAACAGACUAAAAUGUUAACACAGUUAAUCCCUAGACAUCAAAUCAGAUGAUAAUUUUCCUUCUUUUAUCUUUAAAUUUCCUACAAUAGAUACAUAUUUUUUUCUGAGUCAAAAAGGAUUAUAUAUCAAAGUGGGAAACGAUCAUAUACUCUCAUUUCUUUUCUUCCCCCCACUCCUUCUCUCCUCUUUUUUCUCUCUCUGUCUGGGAACAUGAACGCUGCUCUUUCCGGAACCAUCCACGUUCCACCAGGCAAAGCAUUCGAUUGCUCAGAGGUGAUAGCACACCACGGAAGGAUACGACUAAACUUAAACGUUUCCAGUUCCUCUAACUCGUCCCUUCACGGAUCCAUGAGUUCAUCUAAACCCUUCUUGCACUUGUUCAUGUGUUUAGCUGGUACAGCCUCUCAGGCCUUCGAGUUCUGUGUGUUUUCCACCCUCUGUGGGAAGUGGCAGAGGCCUGCCUGACUCCUGUCCUCAGAUGACUGCCUGCCGACUCCCAGGGUCCUCCCAGUUUGUGCCCUUCUAGCAUCGGGGGCACCAAACAACACCAGUUGCACAUUCCCCUUAGCAGAGCGACAUCGUGGAUUGUGUAGACUUGUAGAACGUCUGUGUUGGAGGAUGCUAGUGUUUUCCUAAGAGUCCACAAUACAGCAUUCCACACAAUGGGAGUCAGUUUUCCAGAAAUCAUACAGUACCCAGGAUAGGGAGGCACUGGGGUUCUGGGAGGUUUUCUUUUGCUGGAAUUGGGUAACAAUGGUUACACCUUGUUUCCAUCAGAAAUUCUAGCAGUGAUACAUACGUUUGGUUAUUUGGUCAGUGGAGAAAUUAAUGUAUGAGAGGCAGAAUCUUUUAAACUUUGGGGUCUGUAGAAGGAGGCAUUGAUGGGACUUUGCUAAUCCGGGCCAGGCCUGUGAGGGGAGAGGGAAGGAAUAGUCCACCCCACCUGACACAUGAGAAAAUGGACUCUGAGAGCAUGGGAGCAUUGGAGAGAAUCCAGGCUGCCCAACUCUAAGGCCUGGGCUCUUUCCAGGGCACCUAACCUGCCUCCCUGUUUAAACCAAAGCCUGAGAUAUAUUUCCUGACCUUGGAAUUAUUUAGUAGACUUAGGAUUUGUACAUCCUCCAACUGAGGUCUUUGUUUCCAGACUGAGUCUUUGGUUUAGGAAACAAUUCCUUUAAUGGCCCUUGAUUGUUUUAGUUGCCUUUCGAGAUCCUUUAAUCUUCCCACACCUGUGGACACGCAGACCUCCAGGUUCAGCAGGAUGUGGUAGGCAGCAGGGUGGGCUCUGGAAUCUGACAGCCUGGGUCUAAAUGCUGAUUCCCCAGUCACCAGUCCAUGAUCCUGAAUGAGUGGUUUAACUUCUCUGAGCAUCAGUUUUCCCUGCUGUAAAAUGGGCGUAAUACUAAUAAUAGCUGCCUUAAAGGGCUAUUGAGGGAAUUAAACAACAUAAUGAAGGAAAAGUGCUGGUCCAGUGCUUUGUGCCCAGGACGAUAAAUAUGAGUCGUCGUCACUGUUGUUCCUGGUGGUUUUCCAUGGAAGGACCAUGGCCAGGACAGUGUCAGCUUUGAACCUCAUUUCCUCAUUGGCUGUGUUGUUUGCUUUAUCCUUUAGGGGAAAACCAUCAAAGAGCUCUUCACUCACUGUCUUAGUCUGGGUUAUCUAGAGGAGCAAAACCAGUGAAACGUGUGUGCGUGUGUGUGUAUACACACAUGUACAUAUAAUAAAAAGUAUAUAUAUAAAUAAACGCACACACAAUAGAGAGAGACUGAGAGAUUUACUUCAGAGAAAUGGCUCAUGUAAUUGUGGGAGCUGGCAACUCCCAAAUCUUUGAGUCAGGCAGCAGCUAGAACCAGAGGUCAGGUGACGAGAAGAGUGCAGAGUCCACAGAGAGAACAAGCUUUACCAGAAGAUUCAUUUAUACAGUGGAGGCAGACUCCACACUCCCAAGGACAUUCCGCUUUCAACUGACAGCCAGGUCACAUCAUGGAAAGUGAUUACAUUAUAUUACACUAUGGGACAGCAACCAGUUCAGUAUCUGCCAGACUACUGAGAGUGACAGCCUAGCCAAGCAGACACAUAAAUUAGCCGUCACGCUCAGCCCGUGCCCACUUUAAAGGGGAGGAAAGCAAGGCCCUGAGAACCCACAGGUCUUGCUCGGUCCCACAACUUAGCAGGGGCAGUGUAGGAGGAAGAGCCUGAGUCCACUGUCCUUUAUUCCAGAGCUGUCCUCUCUGUAGUUCCCUCUGGAUGCCUCCUUUGAUUCUCCACCCACGAAAAUAAGGAGAACCGAGGGACAGAAAUAGCCAGAUUCGUGGUAACCCCUGUAUUGAUCACUGAGCAUUGACCUUGGGCCUGCCCCUUGGCUAGGCUCUUCCUUUCCUUAGUAGCUUUGGGUGCUACUGCUUGGUGUAGUACUGAUGGUCCCUGUUCCAUCUCCCCCACCCCCACUUCCCCUGACUGUGCUGUCACAACUCCCAGUGGUGGGGGAUGACGGGAGACACCAUGGGACUGCAGAAUAAUGGGGAGCCAAUUGGUGACAUCUCCUGGUUUGAAGCCUUGUCCUCCCUAUACUCCUUAUACAUCCGGUGGCACAGGAAUUCCCUGAAGCAUGUGGCACCUGAAAAGUCCCUUCCAGGUCUCAAAGGCCUCCUCUGCCCAGAACUCUCCCUUCGUGAAGCCACCACUUGCUGAGCACACCUAUGAGGUGUCAGGCUUUCUGGGGCUACAGUGCUGAACAAGACCCCACUCCUGCCUUCGAGGAGCUCAGCCCGGGAGAGUCAGGCACACACUGUGAGCCAAAACAGGGGGGGAUGCUCACAUGUGCAGAGUGUUGGGGGGUGGUAUUCCUGACAAAGGGGGGACCCAAGCAAAGGCUCAGAGGUGUGAACUCAUACUUAGCUUCAUUGUUCUCUGAUUUCUCUGGGUGUGUUUCUUCUCCCCAGCUAGACUCUAAGUGGCUUCCAGACAAGGAAUCAUGAGUCCUCUUUCUUCCCCUCUUGUUGUUGGUAGCUGCCAUCAGUGCAGCCCCCCAUGCACAGUGACCCCAUGCACAACGGAAAGGAAUGCUGCCUUGUCUUCCGUCAUCCCCACGAUGGGUUUUUACCGGCUGAUUUUCAGAAGUAGAUCACCGGGCCUUUCUUCCUAGUCUGUCUUAGUCUGGAAGCUCCAUAGAAAGCACCUUCACAUGCGUGGUUUUAUUUGGCCCACUCAGUGGCUUUGUAAGGUUGGUCUUUAUCCCCAUUUUAUAGAUGAGAAAACUUUGGCCCUCAGGUUUUUUUUUUUUUUUCCGAGCUAAAACAUGCGCUCAGAUCUGAGGUCUGGCUCCAACACCACCCUGGCUCUCACCCUGUGGUCGACACCGGGGACGUGUGUGUGGAUUCGGUGCUAAACUGCAGAGCCCUCUUCUUAAAGACACUGAGAGGAAGGGGACACGGGAGCAUGAGCUCGUGGGCACAGUGCAAAGGGGGCUGGCUUUGGAAGUAAGACCCCGGCUCAAGUUCCAGCUCUGCCAGGCAUGAGCUGCAUGGCCUUAGGAUAGUCACUUGUCUUUGGGACUCAGUUUCCCUGGUUGGAAAUUGAGGAGGUGGUGGGAGGUUCCAUGUCGUAAAUCUGCAAAACUGGAGUUGAGAACAUUACCCUUCAGCACUUUCUUCUCUCUCAGUACCCCCAGCCCCAGCAGGCCGGUGUUCCCCAGACCCCUCCCCACCACCUCCAUCAUGCAGGUCUUUUCUAGCCCCUUUACUUACCUCUCCCCAGCUGACCCAGUCUCCAGCUAAGUGGAAUCACCUGGGAGCUUGUUAAAAUGCUGAAUCCUAGGCCCCCUCCCGGAACCUAAGGAAUCUCAAUCCCUGGGAGAUGGGGUCCUGGGAACCUGCAUUUCUCCCCUGAACACUCUCAGGAAAUUCUGACGAUCAGCCUACUUCUGGCAUUCACUGCCUAAGCUGAGCGGUUCCCAAACUUUAACAGGCAUCAGAAUCACUUGGGGGGCUUGUAAGAUGGCUGGACCCUACCCCAAGAAUUUCUGAUUCAGUUGGUCAGGGGUGAAGUCCCCGAAUUCGCGUUUCUAACAAGUUCCCAGAUGAUGUAGGGACCACAUGUUCAGAACCGCAGCCCAGCUCAUUCCCUGAGAGCCCAAAAAGCAACCCAGCUAGGGAGUCUUUGUUGAGAGGGGGUGGCUGGGUGGAGCAGCCCAUCGGUAGGUACAUGAAUAUUUUCACAGGAACCAUCUGAAGGCAGUGCUACUGCCAUCGAUAUUAUUGAGAUCAUUACAGUAACGGUUACUGCGUACUCCAACACAUACCACAUGCCAGGCCCUGUGCCGUAUGUCUUAGAACCCAUAUUUCUAGCAAUUACCCAGGGUUUGCAGAUUUAAAAGCUGAGGAUCAGUGAGGUUAAGUAACUGCCUCAAAUACACUUACUCCAAGUGAGAGCAGGACUUUCUUAGAACAAAGUGUGGGCUAUUUCCCUUAUCCCAGUAGGCCUCCCUUUGCUAUCUGCCACGUUGUUGUGUUGUUGUUGUUGUUAGGUGCCCUCAAGUUGAUUCCGACUCAUAGCAGCCCCCUGUGAUGAAGUAGAACGGCCCCACAGGGUUUCCUAGGCUGUGAUCUUUAAGGGAGCAGAUGGCCAGGUCUUCCUCCCACAGGGCCGAUGGUGGGUUCGAACCAUCGACCUUUAGGUUAGGAGGCGAAUGCUUUACCUAUGUACCAUGAGUGACUCUUAAUUGUGGAAAUUUCAAAUCAGGUUCAGAGAGGGGUCACUGCGCGGGUUGGGGGUGGUAUUUAGGGUUGCUGGAGCCUUUCAUUACUUCCCCACAAAUUGUACCCUGCUGGUAGCGGCCUUUGGUCCACACCCUCGGGACAGAGCUGCUGUUUUGCCUGCUUUUAAGGGACCCUUCUUGUAAAUGGGGAAACCCUGGUAGCAUAGCAGUUAAGAGCUACGGCUGCAAACCAAAAGGUCAGCAGUUCGAAUACACCAGGCGCUCCUUGGAAACGGUAUGGGACGGUUCUACUCUGUCCUGUAGUGUAGGGUCGCUAUGAGUCACAAUCGACUCGACAGCAACGGGUUUGGUUUUUUGCUUGUAAACGGAGGGUUGUUGCGUUUAUAACACUCAGCAACUUGAAUGAAAAUGAUGGGCUGCUGCCGAAGCAGCGUGGAGGAGCCCAUUCUGGCCUGGCUGGUGUUCUGGUUGCCUGUCAGGGCCCUGGGAAAGAACUCUUGGCACUGGAUUCCAAGGGACGUUAACCACGUGGAAGUGGAGGAGCUUGUGUUAACUCUUCUAGCCGGUGGCUUCCUCUGGAACUUUCCUCCCCCAACCUGGGAAGAUCUGCCCCUUGUUUAAUAGGAUGCUCAUUGAUUGGUAAAGAAGUAUAAAGUGUAGGGGCAGUGAGGGCUUUUUCUGCGCUUAGCUUUUUAUAUUCUCACCAUUCACCAAUACACACACACACACACACACACACACACACACACAGAUCAUGAUUGAUGCUAGCAUUUUCCUUCAUUUAAUUUUAUAUCUGGCAGGGACCUCAGAAGCCAUCCAAGCCACCUCUACCUUUGCUAGUGUGUCUCCUGCUCUCCUACCUGUGUUCUUCGCUCUGCAAAAAAAAGGAAGGAAGGAAAGGGAGGAGGGAAAGAAAGAACUGUAGUCAGACAUGAAUCCUUACUAAUACCUUCAGAGUGUUAUCUUUCUGUUUUAAGAGGACACACAUGCUUAGAUCAGACUUUGUGCACACACUUGAAGACAGCUUGGUGGCAUCGGUUGGCAUUGAAAGUCAACAGUUCUAGUCCAGGAUCUGCCACUUGUCCAUACUACCUUCUCUGAGCUUCACAUGGCGAACCUGACCUGCCUACCUCCCAAGGGUGUCAUGAAGGAAAAAGAGAUCAUGGAUGAGAACUGGAAGGGACUCUAGGAAUCCAGAUGUUUUGUUUCGCUAAGGGGAAAACUGGGGCCCUGAGAGAUGUGGUAACUUGCAUGAGGUCACACAGCAAGUUGAGGGCAGAAGAAAAGAACUGUAACUGGUGUAUCGUCAUGGCUGACAUCCUUGCUGUUUCCUUCCAUGUGGUCGUUUUGCAGAUGGUGAGUGAGGUGACUAGGGACGUGGGGGAAGGUCACGGUGGGAGGAAAGCUUCUCCAGGAAUCUCUCUGGCCAGAGGUCCUUCAUCAGCUUCUAAAACAGAACUUUUUAUUGCUGAAUAGUCUGUCUCUCUCUUUCGUGUGCGUGCACACACACGCACAUUUCUAUAAUAGCCCUCUUGGUUGAAAUAGCUGAAAAGAAAUGUCUCUUCUUUGCAGAAGAGAAUCACACUUUUCCUCCUGAUCGUGGGGAAACCUGCUGGACCUUUUAUCCAACUAUAAGUGUCGGAAUGGAACACAUGAAGGAGUGACGCUUACAGCUGAGACGCUACUGCUCACACUACCUUGCAUGUAUUGAGUUUGGCUUUGCACUUGCCUAAGGCAUCGCUCCCCAUUACCCCGUCUCCUUCCUACAGCUACACACAAUCCUGACUCCCCUGCCUCAAAAUACGUAUAGGGUGGAAACAAAUAACAUAGGUUGUAAAGACAGAUGGACGUAAGAUUGAAACUCUUAUUUCUCACUAGCAGUGUGACCUCAGGCAGGUUGCUUAGCCCCUCUGAGCUUUAGCUUCCUCAUCUGGGCAAUAAAAAUACCUCUUAAUGUUGUGAGGAUUAACCAAGGUAAAUCAUAAAACGUGCUUAGUACAGUGUGGCACAUAGUAGGUGCUCUAUAAAUCUUAUCUACCACUACUGAAAACACUGGAGAUGACGUUGAAGAUCACCUUGUCAUCAUUUUCAUAAGGGAACUAACAGGUCUGUAAUUUAAAUGAGAUCUCACUAGGCCUCCAGCAACUUCAUUGCAUAAUUAAAGCUGGUUUUCUACCCAGAGAAGAAAAAAUACUGUCCAACUUUUAAGCACACCAUAACUGAACUGUUGCCUUUGGAAUACUGAGAUACCAUCAUAGUGAUUUUCAGUCAUACCUUGUGUUUAUCCAAACCUAAAGCCACUGUCAUUGAGUUGAUUUUGACUCAUAGCAACCCUUUAGGACAGAGAAGAACUGCCGCAUAGGGUUUCCAAGGCCGUAGUCUUUACAGAAGCAGACUGCCACAUCUCUCUCCCAUGGAACAGCUGGUGGGCUCAAACUGCCAACCUUCUUCUGGUUAACAGCCAAGCCUUUUAACCACUGUGCCACCAGUGCUUCUCCUUGUGUUUAUAAAUAUCUGAAAGGAGUCCCUGGGGGGUGCAAACAGUCAGUGUGCUUGACUGCUAGCCAAAAGAUUGGAGGUUGAAGUCAACCCAGAGGCACCUUGGAAGAAAGUCUUAGCAAUCUACUUCAAAAAAAAUCAGCCAUCGAAAACCCUGUAGAACACAGUUCUACUGUGACAUACUUGGGGUCGCCAUGAGUCAGAGUCAACUUGAUGGCAACUGGGACAUCUGAAAAGGACAUAAAAUUGCAAACAAUGAAAAGUACAGGUACAGUAAAACUGGAAACCAUUAAAAUGAGUAAAACCACAAAAACCCAAUUAUAAAUGGGGUCAAGGAUGCACUUGUGUUGCGCUUUCCAGUUUACAAAGUGCUUUCAUACACCUGACUUCUGUUAUCCUCAGAACAAGCCUGGAAGGUAGAUAUUAUUCUGCCCAUUCCACAGGUGAGGAAAUAGAGGCUCAACUAAGUGCCAUAGCCAGGAGUCCAACCCAGGUCUUCCAUUGCUCAGUGUAAGGAGAGUGGUCGAUGCUAAGCUGGAAAGACAGGCAGGAGCCACAUCACACAGGGCCUUGUAGGACUUGGUAAAGAACUUUGGGUGUUGUUCUUAGCUCAGUGGGAAGCUCCUAGAACGUUUAAGCAGAAGGGUGUUGAGAUCCUAUGUGCCUUUCAAGGAGAUCACAGGUUGGAGUGAGAAGAGCAAAAGUGGAACCAGGGAGGCUGUUAAGGAAGUUCCGGCAGGAGAUGACGGUGGCUUGAGCCAAGGGAGUGACAGUGGGGAUAAAGAGAAUUAGCUAGAUUCAGAAAUAUGGAGGUCAAAAGAUAGCCUUCCUGGUGGAUUGGAUAUGGAUGUUGACAGACAGGGGAGAACUAAGGAUGACUCAGCUUCCAAGUGGGUCUGUGGGUGGUUGAUGGUGGGGAGAUCUGUAGGAGAGACAGGAUUCCAAGAUGGGGUGUGAGGUGGGAUGGAAUCUAGAGAUCCAUCUGAACGUGUUAGGUGACAGCGACCUAGCACUUACUUUAUGAGGAGCCCUGGUGGCGCAGUGGUUAAACACUUGGCUACUAACCGAAAGGUCGGCGGUUCAAACCCACCAGCCAGUCUUCAGGAGAAAGAUGUGGCAGUCUGCUUCCGUAAAGAUUACAGCCUUGGAAACCUUAUGAGGCAGCUCUGCGCGGCCCUAUAGAGUCACUACGAGUCAGAAUUGACUCAAUGGCAGUGGGUGGGUUUUUAGCACUUACAUUUUUUUUAGUAAGAGGAUAUAUGUCCCCCAAACACUCAGCCUUCUGAUAGCAGAGAGCAGGUCAUAUGCACUUCUUUCUGGGCAUUUAAUAAACGCUUUCUGUGAGCUGGUGAGGUUGGGCCCCAUCUCCAGUCAGCCCAUCUGUAAAGAAUGCUGCUGUUGGCUUCACGACACGCUGUAGUCUUUCUGCCGCCAGGGAACCGGGGAGCAAUCAGUGACCCCUUCUCAGAAUACUGGGCCUGGUACAAGAAGCGAACAAAAAACCCCAAUGCCCUGCCUUCUAACGUUUCAGGCAACUUUUUCUUCUGCCAGUCUCCAUGGGAUCUUUCCUCUGCUGAUGUUGAAAGUGGUUCAUUUUUUUCUUUUAAUAUUGUAAUUAGGCCUUAAAUGACCUUUGCCCUGUGGUAGGUUUUGAAUAGAUAAAACCUCGUAAAAUAAUAAUAACUGCAGUGACAAUUAUAAACACUUGUAGAGUGCUGUUCCAUUAAAAGGCCUCUUUUAUGUAUGUUUAUUUUAUUUUAGCCUCACAAAAAUUUCUGAGGUAAGUAUUUAGCUCUACUUUUUUGAGAGGAAGGUAGUGGCCAAGACCAUGUAACACUAUGAUAAUAACCCCACCUACCUCACAAGGAUUUCAUUUUACUUGGAUCCACAAUCAACAGCCAUGGAAGCCAUGGAAGCAGCAGUCAAGAAAUCAAAAGACGCAUUGCAUUGGGUAAAUCUGCUGCAAAGGACCUCUUUAAAGUGUUGAAGAGCAAAGAUGUCACCUUGAAGACUAAGGUGUGCCUGACACAAGCCAUGGUAUUUUCAAUCACAUCAUAUGCAUGUGAAAGCUGGACAAUGAAUAAGGAAGACGAAGUGACGCCUUUGAAUUGUGGUGCUGGUAAAGAAUAUUGAAUAUACCGUGGACUGCCAAAAGAACGAAAAAAAUCUGUCUUAGAAGAAGUACAGCCAGAAUGCUCCUUAGAAGCAAGGAUGGCGAGACUGCGUCUUACAUACUUUGGACAUGUUGUCCGGAGGGAUCAUUCCCUGGAGAAGGACAUCAUUCUUGGCAAAGUACAGGGUCAGUGGAAAAGAGGAAGACCCUCAACGAGGUGGAUUGACGCGGUAGCUGCAACAAUGAGCUCAAGCAUAACAACGAUUGUAAGGAUGGCUCAGGACCGGGCAGUGUUUCGUUCUGUUGUGCAUAGGGUCACCAUGAGUUGGAACUGACUCGACGGCACCUAACAACAACAACAACAACAAGUUCACAGGGUUGUUGGGAGGAUUAAAAGAGUUGAGCUAGGUGAGGUACUUGGAACAGGGCCUGGCACAUGAAUGUCAGCUGCUGUUGUGAUUAGGAUUAGUUUACAGAGAGAAAAACUGAGGAGCAGUGAGGCUGUGAUGUACACACACUCACCCAGCUGGUCAGCCAUGGAAUCAGCUACAAGUUGUGUACACCCUCACGCCACUCUCAGGAGGAAUCUGUGUUACAACGUGAUACUCGGUUGGACAGGAAGGCUGCUCCUUUCCCCUGUAGGAGCUUCCCCACCCUCCUCCAGCCAGUCAUCCCUACCUUCUCCCUUGCAAAUCUAUCUUCCACCUGGGGUGGGUUGAGCGCAUCAUCCAGGAAGGCUCUGAGCCUGUCCUCUCUGCCUCUGUUGCUUUCCUGUUCCAGGUGCCCCCCUCUCUGCCCAUCAGCCUCCAUUCUUUGGGGCAGGAAUCAGGCCCACUGCCUCCACCACCUCCUUUCCUAACCCCUUCUUCAGUGUAUUUCUGUAGAGUGGAGCCAACUCCAAGCCCCAGAGUCCAGCACGUGGAUUCAUCAAUCCCAGUUUACUCCUCAUGUGUGGGUCUUGGCGCCCCCGUUGGGUAGCUGGAGUCAGAGGUCAUUGUCACUCUCCAUCAUCCAUGUGUCUGGCCCAGAGCAGGGGCCGUGGCAUGAUGUUAUACAACUGACUUAUUAAAAAAUAAUAAACUUAAUAAUCACCAGAACUAUCUUGGCAAACAGGUGGUGUGCACUUCCAAGUGUCCUCAGGAGCUCUUCCCUAAUCCCAAAGGUGGAGCCAUGGCCACCCCAGCCAUGCCACAUUCUAUGCAUCAUCCCAGGUCUUGGCAGAUCUCGCCCUUUGAAGGCGAUUCAGCAAUCAAAUCUGUGGAGUCAGGAGUGUGACUUUCCCUUGAGAAAUAUAGUUGGACUUGGGCAGUUAGAAUAUAGAAUAAUUAUAGAAAGACAGCUACAGAUAAAGACAGCUUCAAAUAUGUCUUGGGCAAGGGCCCCAUCACUGAAAUAAAUGUAAAGGCUCUGUUACAGGGACCUCUUUGAAAGGCUAGUUCUUCUUGGCUGGACCAGUUCUGGUAAGUGUAUUCAAAAUUUUCCCUCAAAAUAUAUUUUGAGGAACGAAUGAGUGCCUAUAAGUGAACGGCAUUACCUCUUAGCCAAAGUGUGUAUUUGAGAGACUAAGUGUGUAUAAAAAAAAAAAAAAGUAUAGUUGUGUGUAUUUGUGAAUGUAUGUGCCUGUGAGAGAGAGGGAGCCCUGGGUGGUAUAAAUGGUUAAUGCACUCGGCUGCUAACCAAAAGGCUGGCAGUUAGAGUCCACCCAGACGCAAAUCGGAAGACAGGCCUGGUGAUCUACUUCUGAAAAAUUAGUCUUUGCAAACCCUGUGAAGCACAGCUCUCUGACACACAUGGGGUCGCCAUGAGUUGGAGUCAACUCCACGGCAACUGGUAAAGUGAGAGAGGACUGCUGGCCCCAAACGCAGCCAUUUGACGCAAGUAGGGCCUUUUUAGAUUGUCAUUGGAGAGGGGCGGGACACAGGGAUAGGCCAUGUCACUCCUGCCUUUUUCCCCUUCCCCCAAAGACCAAAACCAAACCCACUGCCGUCAAAUCGAUUCUGUAGGACAGAGUAGAGCUGCUGCGUAGGGUUUCCAAGGCUAUAAAUCUUUGAGGAAGCAGACUGCCACAUCUUUCUCUCACAGAGUGGCUGGUGGCUUCAAACCACUGACCUUUUGGUUAGCAGCCAAAUGCUUUAAUCACCGUGCCACCAGGGCUCUCUCCUCUUCCCCCACCGGCCUCCAAAUUUGUUUCAGCCCAGUGGAUUCCUUUAAUGACCUGAAUUUAAUUAUUAUAUUGUCUAUCAAUAAACCCCCCCCUUCUGUCCCCACAUCCCAGCCCUACCCCCGCCCUCAGGGUUAACUGGCUCCUCCUCACUAAGGGUUCUAAGGACGUGGUUUUCUGUGGGAAGAGGUUUGGGUUCACAUUUACAGGCCCUGUUUGUUCUCAGGUCCCACUGUUGAUUCCUGUUAAAAUGAUGAAGAUUUGACAGGGGGAGGGUUGGCGGGGGAGAUGUUUCCCCUGGAUUCCCAAUAUUUGUUUUUUGUUUGGUAAAAUAUUUUCCUGGGCAUCAGAGGAAGAGGAAAUGGACAAUUGUUUCUUCAGAGACUGAUUUCUAGGCAGUGGCAGAGGUUCAGUAGGUGGCCAGCACGCCCGGCCCCCAGCCCCCAAGGCCAGGGGGUGGGAGCCAAGAGAGCUUCAGUGUGGGUAUCAUGGACGGAGGAGGUGGUGUGGAAAUCCAGAUCAUACACAGUUCCUGAGUGAUUGUUACAAGUCUUGAGGCGCCGCUAAAAUCCAUUUACUGAAGCUGCUGCCUCACCAGGGCCUCUUCAUGGCUACUUGUGGGUGGACUCGACAGCUGUAACUAAAAUCACCAGAUUGGAUGGAAUUCCCAGCAAAGCCCUGGAUCAGUGCAGUGGCUGCCAACGAGCUUUCAAAUGGCUGGACAGGGGCUUUUUCAAGGUGGAGAGGUGGGGCUGGACCGUGGGAAGGGUGCUCAGCUUUCCUGCUAGAGGCCAGAUUCACCAGUCCUGUUUCUUGGUGCAGCUGUGAGGCUCUGAGUCUCCGUUUCCUUACUGGAGACACGGGGUUAAUGAUACCCCCUUAAGGGGUGAGCAUCUCUGAAGCCAGAUAGUCCAGGCUCUGUGACAGGGUUGCUGUGUGACUUUGGGCAAGUUGCUUCACCUCUCUGUGCCUAGUUUUUCUCGUAUUAUUCUCCUAGGUCUGCCGUGACAAAUUACCACAAACUGGGUGGCUUAAAACAGAAAUGUGUUCUCUCACAGUUCUGGAAGCCAGAUUCUGAAAUCGAGGCGUUGGCAGGAGGCACUCCCUCUGGAGGCUUGAGGGGAGAAACUUUCCUUGCCUCUUCCAGCGUCUGGUGGCUGUUGGCAUUUCUUGUGGCUGCAUCACCCCAAUGUCUGCCUCCAUCUUCACAUGGUCUCCUCUCUGUCUCUCACAAGGACUCUGAUCACUGGAUUUAGGGCCCACUUGGAUAGUCCACGGAAACCCUGGUGGCGUAACAGUUCAAAUCCACCCUGCGCUCCUUGGAAACUCUGUGGGACAGUUCUACACUGUCCUAUAGGGUCACUAAGAGUUGGAAUCAACUCAACAGCAGCGGGUUUGGUUUUUGGUUUGGAUAAUCCAGAAUGAUUUUGUCUUGAGGUCCUGGUGGGGUAAUGAUUAAGAACUCGGCUCCUAACCUACAAGUCAGAAUCUGCCAGCCGCUCCUUGGAAACCCUGUGGGGCAAUUCUACUCUGUGUUAUAGGGUCGGAAUUGACUCAAUUGCAAUGGGUUUGGUUUUGAGGUUUUUUUUUUUUUUUUUUAAAUCCCUGGCAUCAUUACGUCUACAAAGACACUUUUUCCAAAUAAGGUCACGUUUUCCAGUUCCGGGGGUUAGGACGUAGGCAUAUCUUUUGGGGGAGCCACAAUUCAACCCGCUACCCCUCACCUUCAAAUAAGGAUGAUAACGGUGCUUGUUUAUGGAGGUUAAAUGAGGCUAAAUGUGUCUAAAGUGCUUUGGCCAGUCCCCGCACUCAGCAAAGACUUGGUGUUUUCUCCCAUCAUAACCCCGAUUGCCUGCCUCACUGAGCCAUGAUGUUAGGACUGUCACCACGCUUAUCGUAGCUGACUUUUAUUCAGAGACAUCCCAAACUUAACGUCUAAAAUUCAUUAAUUUGACUCUCUCUCAAUCUCCAACAUCUCAGUAAAUACUACCCCAUUUGUUCCAGUGUGAGGCCAAUAUCCUUCAAAUAAUCUUAUUUCCUCUUUUGCUCCCGUACUUCGUUCCAUCUAUAAAUUCUGGCCGUUCUGCCUUCAAAAUAUAUAUCCCUGAGCUGACCCCUGCCUUCCAGGACCACCAUGUUGCAUCCCACCAGGGGGGCGCCCUUCAGAUUGGGGGGUGAAAGUGGCGCCCCCUGGAGUUGUGCAGUAUGUAGCUUGAGUGACCAAAUUCAGGGGCUCUGCUUCUUGCCAGUUCUACUGCUGUCCCCCAAUUCAAGCCACCGCCACUCACAUGGAUCAUUGCAGUAGCCAAUAACUGUCCCCUCAGCUUCAUGUCUUCCCCUUUCCACACCCCUCUCACCAGGACAGUCUGCUGUCCUCAGAGCUGGUUUUUAAAAACCUAGAUCAGAUUCUGUCACUCCCCUGCAGAUCCUCCCCUGGUUCCCCCAUCUCACUGCAAGCAAAAGGCAAUGUCCUUGUGAUACCCCACAUGGCCCCUCGUGGUCACCUUCCCUGUCCCUCUCUGCUGCAGCCACCUGGCCUUUUUGCUCGACCUUGAGCACAACAACACGCGUGCACUUGCACUUGCUGAUUUCUCAACCUAGAACACUGUUUCCCCAGCUCUCUUUGUGGUUUUCUCCCUCGCUUCGUGCAGGCUCUGCUGAAAAGUCCGAGACCUUCGCUGACACCGUAGGGUCAUGUUGUUGCUUUUGGGUGCUGUCAGGUUGCUUCCGAUUCCUAGUGCCCCCGUGUGACAGUAGAACUGCCCCGUAGGGUUUUCUAUGCUGUGAUCUUUACAGGAGCAGAUCACCAGACCUUUCUCCCAUGGAGCCACUGGGUGGGUUUGAACCGCCAGCUUUCGGUUAGCAGCCGAGCACUUAACCGUUGUGCCACCAGGGCUCCUGUAGGGUCAUAGCUAAAAUAAAAAAACCAGUUUCCAUGGAAUCGAUUCAGAUUCACGGUGACCCCAUGUAUGUCAGAGUAGAACUGUGCUCCACAGGGUUUUCAAUGGCUGAUUUUUCAGAAGCAAAUUGCCAGGACCUUCUUCCAAGGUACCUCUUGGUAGACUCAAACCUCCAACCUUUCAGUUAGCAGCAGAGUGCAUUAACUAUUUGCAUCACUCAGGGAUUCCAUAGGUAAGAUAAAAACCAAAAAACCAAACGCAUUGCCAUCAAGUCAAUUCUGACUCAUAGCGACCCUAUAGGACAGAGUAGAGCUGCUUUCCAAAGAGUGGCUGGCGGAUUCAAACUGCCAACCUUUUGGUUAGAGCCCAAUGCUUAACCACUGUGGCACCAGGGCUGCUUACCUUGACACAUAGCAAUCGCCUUACUGUAGUUUUUUCUUCAAAACACUAUUGCUAUGUAUUUUGUGUUUAUUGGUGUUAUUUAAUUGUCUGCUUUCCCCUGUGAGACUCAGGCUCCAUGAAGGGAAAGGCUUUGUUUUAAUCACUGCCAGACCCUCAGCACCUGGCACAUAUUAGGACGUAAUAACUAGUACCUGGGUGACAGAACGUACUAAACUCUUACUAUGGGCAGGGUCUGGCUUUGUAGGCAUUAUCUCAUCCAAUAACCUUACAAGGUCAGUACUUUUAUAUCCUCAUUUGUCAGAGGCUUAGGGACUCAGAGAGAAUAAAUGUCCCCCAAUUACCCAGCUACUGAGUGGAGGCAGCAAGAUCUGAACCAACUAGUCUUAAUCCAGAACCCCACUUUCUUUUUUUCAUAUGAAAAUAUACAUAUCAAUACAUGUAAAACACACGCCCAUUUAACAAUUUCUGCACAUACUCUUCAGUGACAUUGGUUCCAUUCUUCACAUUGUGUCAACAUCCUCGUUAUUUCUGCUCUAGUUAUUUCACGUCCAUUAAUUUAGGCUCACUGCCCCCUAAACUUCUCAUCUGUGAUUUAGAGUUACUAUGGUCAUUUUCAUCUCCUAUAAUUUUUUAAGAGACCGCAAUACUUAAGGGUAACAUUUUUCACUUUUUGAGCUAAACUGUUUUUUCCUUUAAAGAUGCCUUCAGGGGAUAGUUUUGGUUUAAGGUUUGAAGAGUACCCCAGGGCAAUAGUCUUGGGGAUUCCUCCAGCCUCAGAGGAUCCAGUCAGUCUGGAUUCUUUUGGAAUUUGAAAUUCUGUUCCACAUUUUUUCCCAUUCUGUCAGGAUCUAUCUAUUGUGUCCCUGAUCGAAACUCAAUAACGUAGCGGGCACCAUCCAAUUCUUCUAGGCUCAUGUUAGAAGCAGUAGUUCAUGGAAGCCAGUAGUCCUGUGGUUCAGUUGCUUCUCUGAUUCUUGGGUUUCCUUCUAGCUCAGGCGAAUAGAGACCAGUUGUUGUAUUUUGGAUGGCCACUCACAAGCUUUUAAGACCCCAGACACUACUCACCGAACUGGGAGGUAGAGCAGAACCUUUAAAAAUGGUACUAUGAUGGAGGAACCUGGAAGGCAUUAUGCUGAGUGAAAUUAGUCAAGGCAAAAGGACAAAUAUUGUAUAAGACCACUAUUAUAAGAUCUUGAGAAACAGUAUAAACUGAGAAGAACACAUACUUUGGUGGUUACGAGGCGGGGAAGGAGGGAGGGUGGGAGAAGGUUAUUUACUGAUUAGUUAGUAGAUAAGAACUACUUUAGGUGAAGGGAAGGACAAUACUCAAUACACGAAGGUCAGCUCAACUGGACUGGACCAAAAGCAAAGAAGUUUCCGGGAUAAAAUGAAUGCUUCGAAGGUCAGCGGAGCAAGGGCGGGGGUUUGGGGACUAUGGCUUAAGGGGACUUCUUAGUCAAUUGGCAAAAUAAUUCUAUUAUGAAAACAUUCUGCAUCCCACUUUGAAGUGUGGCGUCUGGGGUCUUAAAUGCUAACAAGCGGCCAUCUAAGAUGCAUCAAUUGGUCUCAACCCACCUGGAUCAAAGGAGAAUGAAGAACACCAAGGUCACACGAUAACUAUGAGCCCAAGAGACAGAAAGGGCCACAUGAACUAGAGACUUAUAUCAUCCUGAGACCAGAAGAACUAGAUGGUGCCCUGCCACAACCGAUGACUGCCCUGACAGGGAGCACAACAGAACCCCUGAGGGAGCAGGAGAACAGUGGGAUGCACACCCCAAAUUCUCAUAAAAAGACCAGACUUAAUGGUCUGACUGAGACUAGAAGAAUCCCAGUGGUCAUGGUCCCCAAACCUUCUGUUGGCCCAGCACAGGAACCAUUCCCGAAAACAACUCAUCAGACAUGGAAGAGACUGGACAAUGGGUUGGAGAGAGAUGCUGAUGAAGAGUGAGCUACUUGUAUCAGGUGGACACUUGAGACUGUAUUGGCAUCUCCUGUCUGGAGGGGAGAUGGGAGGGUAGAGAGGGUUAGAAACUGGCAAAACUGUCACGAAAGGAGAGACUGAAAGGAGGGAGCAGGCUGACUCAUUAAGGGGAGAGUAAGUGGGAGUAUGGAGUAAGGUGUAUAUAAGCUUAUAUGUGACAGACUGACUUGAUUUGUAAACUUUCACUUAAAGCACAAUAAAAAUUACCAAAAAAAAAAAAAAAAAAGGGUACUAUGCCAGUUGACUGGAUUGUAGAAUCCACUUUCUCAAUCACCAUCUGUGAUGAGGCUGGAAUGAAAGACAGUAGGUGAAAGACCUUUGGAAAUGGAAAUGUGCUGGACGGAAGUACCCAAACAGCAGUAAGCCUGCACAUGACAUCCAAGCAAAUCACUCGGAGUUGAUUUGGGUCUCUUUCCUGUUGUUUUUAAGUUCUGAGAACUUUUUGCUGCCUCCCUGGUUGGUGCAACUCGAGGUGGUAAGAAAGGUGUCUGUGAAGCUCUGUGGCACUAUUCAGUUGCUGUCAGACUUUGGUGGCCCAGAAUGCUCCAGAAUGGGGCACGUAGGCUGUAUGAAUAUGUCCUUUAUUCUAAAAGCAGGUCAGUCCAUUUCUCUGCUUUUAGUAAACACGGCGUGUUGAUUAGAAUCAAAUAUUUCAGUGUGCAAAGAGCUGAGCAAAGAGCCUUAGACUGAGUCAAAAGACUCGGUACCUACUCUACCACUAAAAUACUCUGUGACCUUAAAUAAUAGUAUAACUCUUAUUUACUGAAUCUUACCAUGUGCCAGGAGCCCUAGUGACACCACGCAGUGGUUAAGCACUCAACUGCUGACUGAAAGGUUGUCCGUUCAAACCGACCAGCCACUGCGCAGAAGAAAGACGUAGUGGUCUGGUGCCGUAAGGAUUAAACUAAAAAACCAAACCCAUUGCCAUCGAGUGGAUUCUGACUCAUAGCAACCCUAUAGGACAGAGUAGAACUGCCUAUAGGGUUUCCAAGGAGCAGUUGGUGGAUUAGAACUGCUGACCUUUUGGUUAGCAGCUGAGCUCCUAACCACUGCACCACCAGAGCUCCCCAUAAAGAUUCCAGCUUAAGAAAUCUUAAGGGGGAGUUCUACUUUGUCCUAUAGGUUCGCUGAGUUGCAAUUGACUUAAUGGCAACAGGUUACCACCUGCAGGCAUACUGCAAGUACUUUAUGCCCUUUAACUCAUGUAGUUCCCCAAACCACUCUGGGGAGUAAGUACUAUUAUUAACCCCAUUUAAUACUAUCACAGAGGCACAGAGACAUUAAGUGACUUGGUCUAAGUCACACAGCCAAUAAUCAUCAGAGCCGGCAUGUGAACUCAAGCAGUCUGUCUCCUGAGGACAAGUUUUAGCCCAUUCUCCAUUCUGACUACCUAGCUUUUAGCCUGUAAAGUAUGGGGAAGGCACUCGAUUGUAUUUUCUAUGAAAAAUCUAUGCUCUGGAGGCUGAGAAUCAGACAGUCUUUCUGAGACAUUGGUGUCAGUGCAAAAGAUACAGGAGACCUAGGUGGCUUUUACAAGGAUGUUACAAGGAAAGGCCUAAGGUAGAAGGUUUUUUUGUCUUUUUUUUUUUUUUUCUGAGUAAUAAGAUUUUUUUUUUUUUUAGUUUCAUAUUUGGUGAAAAUAUGCACAUCAAAGCACACUCCCAUUUAACAAUUUCUGCACAUACUCUUCAGUGAUAUUGGUUCCGUUCUUCACAUUGUGUCAACAUUCUCCUUAUUUUUGCUCUAGUUGUUUCACCCCCGUUAAUUUAGGCUCACUGCCCCCUAAACUUCUCAUCUAUGCUUUAGAGUUAACCAUUGUCCACUUGGUCUCGUACAGAUAAUUUUUUGAAAGAGCACAAUACUUAAGGGUGACGUUCUUUACUUUUGGAGCUAAACUGUUUUUUCCCUCUAAAGGUGACUUCAGGGAAUAGUUUUGGUUUAAGGUUUGAAGAGUAUAAGAUACGGGGUUCUUUUCUUUUUUUAUCAAGUUCUUGCUUGCGUCUUGCUGCCUUGUCAUUUGCUAUUUUUCUUGCCUCAAUGGUUUGCAGAAAUAAGAGCCGGCUGGUGCAUACUUUCCUCCAGACAGCAUGUGCACGUGACAAAAAGAAAAUGAAACCCUUACAGUCGCCUGGUGUUUAACUUCAGAGCAGCUCACACCUCUUUUCUCAUUUAAUUCACACAAAGACCCUGUGUGGACAGGCAAAGGUAUCCCCAUUUUAUAGAUGAGGAAACUGAGGCAGAGAGAAGUUAAGAAAGCUUAUCUUAAGGUCCCUUCUCUUGCCUCCUAGGAGUAUCUCCUGGGUCCUUUCCCGGGGGUUUUCUCACUUUACAGUCAUAACCUUAGCAAACAUAGCCUCUGAUUGCACCCAUCCACCACCCACACUGGUUACCACACUAGAUGAAUGAUAAACACUCGUCAUAAUGAUAGCUGCCAUGUACUGCGUGCCUUCUCUGUGCUAGGAACUGUGCUAGGGGCUUUUCCAGCCUGAUUUCCUACUAAUCCCCACAAUAUUCCUUGGAGGUAUAUAGCGUUAUGAUGCUCAUUUUACAGAUGGGGUGCCUGAGGCCACACAGGCCAAAUCCAUACUUGCACAGAGUCACACAGCAUUCACGUGGGUUAAUGUGGAUUGUCUCAUGUCCGUCCUGGGCUCCUGGUCAUACAGGACAAUGUCCCAACUCCUCAGCGUGGUGGGCAGGCCCCCGCCCCUCCACCCCACAUACUGCUUCCACCCCCUUCACUCUCAGCUAUGCUCAACCACUCGCUGCUCCCUGCUCAGGCCCCUCUAUUCCCCUCCUCAUUCCCCUCCUCCAAGGCACACCCCCAACCCCUCUUCUGACUGGGAACUUCCCACCCAUCUUUCAAGGCCCAGACCAAACACCACCUUCUCCCUGCAGCCUGCUCUGACCCACCGUCUCCCACGUAUCUCCAUGCCCGCUGUCUCUCUGUCCAGGGCACUCUGAACCACUCUUGUUUGUCACCCAGAUCACAUUUUAUCACCAGCAGGGCACAUCAUGACACAGUACGAGGAACAUAAGACAGCAGGGAGCCGUGUGGUGUGGAAGGACCAGGACAUGUGAGCCCCACCUAACCGUAUUCCAGUGGUUUUUUAAAACAGUGGGCCAGUCAAACAAAACAACUUUAUGGUACUUAUUCAACCCACGGGCCACCAGUUUGAAACCCCUGGAUGCUCCUCGAAAGAACCUUGUGCUUCUUUACAUUGUCAGUGCUUAGAUGGAAGAGGGGGGCAGAACUUACCUUUUCAGACUUGGCAGUUUGGCUUCUGGAAAACAUGGCAUUCCAGACCAUUUGAUCCUCAAAUAUUUCCUGUGUCUGUACUAUGGGAAUUCCAAAAACACUUGAAGGGAAACAGCAGAGUUCGAUGGUUUAAAAGCAUGGACUUUCACAGCACACAAAUUCAACCUUGAGCUCCAACGCUGCCACUUACUUGCCAAGUGACCUUAGAUAAGCUAUUGAGUUCUCUGAGCCUCAGGUUCCUCAUCUAUAAAUUGGGGGUGAUGAUACCAGCGCCGCAGGGUCUGUGUGAGGAUUAAUGAGAUCAUGCACAACCAUGAAGCCUGCCAUAAGGCACACACGCAUCAUCACUUCAUUCAGCAGGCACUGAUUGAGCACAUAGUGUAUGCUGGGUGCUCUUUGGGGUACUGGUGGUGAACAGAGUGGACCCCUUGAUCUCAUUCUUGGGGGAGACAAGUAAAUAAUUUGAGAACGGGCCAUGUGCUAGAAGAAAAAGUAAACAAAACCACCAGUUGCAGCAAGUUGAUUCUGACUCAUAGUGACUCCAUGUGUGCAGAGUAGAACUGCUUUAUAGGGUUUUCAAGGCUGUGAUCUUUCGGAUACAGAUCACGGUCGCUGGAUGCAGGAUGCAGAUCCUGGUCGUCCUCUUUUCAAAGGCGCCUCUGGUUGGGUUCAAACAGCCAGCCUUUAAGUUAGUAGUUGAGUGCUUAACUGGUUGCAAUACCCAGGGACCUAAGGAAAAAAACAGGUAAUGAAAUAGAGGAUGGCAGGGGAGGAAGUUAGGUUGAGAGGUGGGUAAAGGCCCCUCUGGGAAGAUGCCUUUGACAAGAAGUGGACAGCCAGAUGAAAACUUGGGGGCAGAGUAUUCCAGGCAGGAGGAACAGCCAGUGCAAAGAACCAGAGGCAGGCACACACAAAGCCCCUAAAUCAAGACUGAACCAAACCCGUUGCCGUUGAGUUGAUUCCGACUCAUAGUGACCCUGUAGGACAGAGUAGAACUGCCCUAUAGGAUUUCCAAGGAGCAGCUGGAUUCGAACUGCUGACCUUUUGGUUAGCAGCCAAACUCUUAACCACUGCACCACCAGGGCUCCCAAGGCCCUUGUUGGCUAAGAAUAUUCAUUAUGGUUGUUGUGACACGUGGCCUUGUACUAUGAGUCUGCCGCUCUGGCAGGGGGGACAGAACCGCUGCUCUCCAGGUAUAAUGCUCAGCUGAACUGGAAUGCCAACUAUAAUUGGAGCAGGAGUUCAACCGAGAAAUCAGUGAGGCUAGAGUGGUCUUACCACCUGCUGGAGCAGGUAGGAGUCGUGGAGAGAGGAGGAGGAGGACAUGUGUGGAGGGACUGAGCAUUCCGGGAGAGCCUGGUAUCUAAGAGACCCUCAAUGACUGCCCCGGCCAGAGCCGGUUUCGGGGCCAGUGGGGAAGGGGAGGCCGAGGCGCCAUAUGGAUGAGCUCAGCACUGGCUAGCAAGCACAACAGCAGCCUCACUGUCACACCGAGGGGGGGCACUGGUUGUCGGUCAGGGUAUGUGCUCCCCACUCACGGUGGAAGGCCCUGGGAGGAAAUGCAACUGCCUGACUCACAGUUACGGCCGCGGGAAACCUGGCACGGUUUCCCAGACACAUCCUGAGCAUUAAGGUGAGGGGCUGUCGGAGGGCAGGUGCCCGCCGGGGCGAGAGAGGAGAGUGGCUGGAGGGGUGUGCCUAGGUUAGGGUCCCCGGGCUGUGCCUCUCAGGGUCUCCGGGCUGUACCUUUCAGGGUCCAAGGCCCGUACCUUUCAGGGUCCAAGGCCCAGCCUCCUGGGACCCCCAGCGAGUGGGAGCUGAGGCCUGGUUGAUGGGCCUCUGCCUCCCCUCCUUUAUCGACGCGCCUAGCACUUACUGGAUGUCCAGCCAAGAUCCGCAUGCUCCUUGAUGUGUGGGUAUGCAGGAAAGCAGCUGAGUCAGGAGAUGGGACAUCUGACUUCCGGUCCCAGAAACUUGGAUUCAAAUCCAAGGACUUCCAUUAACACAGCUUCUCUGGCCUUUGGUAUCCUCAUCUAUAAAGUGAUGGAGUAAAUUGGGAGCUCUCCAAGGUUCCUUCUAGCUGGACCACUUCCUGUAUUUCCCUCUCUGUAGAUAGGAGAAGGAGCCCUGGUGGCACAGUGGUUAAGUGCUCGGCUGCUAACCGAAAGGUCGGCAGUUCAAACCCACCAGCUGGUCCAUGGGAGAGAAGUCCUGAUGAUCUGCUCCAGUAAAGAUUUCAGCCUAGGAAACCUAAUGGGGCAGUUCUACUCUUUAUAGGGUCACUAUGAGUUGGAAUCAACUGGACAGCAGCAGUUUGGUUUGUUUGUUUAUAUAUAGGAAAAACAGGCCCCAGGCAGGUCUACCACUCCUGCUCCUAGGUCCUGCCUGCCUACUCCCAUCUUCUUCUAGUCCCCAGAUGCCUCCUUUUCUCCUUCCACCUGCCAGACAUUGAGGCUCGGGCACCCCAAGGAUGACCUUCACCCCUGAGAGUAGGCUGUCCCAAAUCAACUAAGAGAGGAGCUCCCAGGGGCAUCAACCACUUGAGUGUACUCACGUGUUUUCAGCAGGCAAGACCUCCUCUAGCUGCCACUUGCCUGACCCUAUACGUCCUUCAAUCCAGCUUAAAUGAAACCUCCACCAGGAAGCCCUUACAGAUCACCCGAGCCAGAGUCAUCCCCAUUACCCGUCUAUGACACUUUACAAUCCUGUCUUGGGCGUUUUCACUUACAUUUGGUAUAAUUAUUUGUGUAUAUAUAUUUGAGUAUAUGCCAUAGCUCCUCUCCCGAUUUCUAACUCAGGGAAAGCCAUAACCAAAUUGCCCCCACUUUUCUCAUGCCCACCAUCUGCCUCCCUUGCAACAUCUGGUACAAUGUUUGUAGUCUAAAUAUUGAGUAGAUAUUUGUGAAGUAGAUGCAGCUUUUUUUCUUCUGUGCAAAAGAAUUCUUUCAUUUCAGAAUGACUAUAGCCAGGAGUGUAAGAGCACCUGCUGUAGACUGAGCUGAAUCUCAGCUUCACUAUCUGCAUACUGUGGGACCAUGGACAAGUUACUUAACGCAUUGAUGCCUCAGUUUCCUUUUCUGUACAAUGAGGAUAAUCAUACGUAGGUAGGUGGAUGGACAGACAGAUAGAUGUCAAGUUGACUCCAACUCAAGGUGACUUUAUGUACAAUAGAAUGAAACAUUGCCGGAUCCUGCAUCAUCCUGACGAUCACCAGUGUGUUCCGGUCUGUCAUCGUAGCUAUUGCAGCAAUCCUUCUCACCUAGGGUCUCCCUCACCCUCACCAGCCCUCUACUUCACUAAACAUGAUGUCCUUCUCUAGCAAUUGAUCACUCCUGAUGACGUGUCCAAAGCAAGCAACUUGGAUAACGUUCUCUUGUGAUCCAUAGGAUUUUCAUUAGCUAAUUUUCAGAAGUAGAUCACCCGGCCUUUCUAACUAGUCUAUCUUAGUCUGGAAGCUCUGCUGAAACCUGUGCUCCAUGGGUGACCCUACUGGUAUUUGAAAUACAAGUGGCGUAGCUUCCAGUAUCACAGCAACAUGAAAGCUACCACAGUACUGCAGACUGACAGACGGGUGGUUGAGGAUAAUCACAGUGCCCACCUAACAGAGUGACUGUGAGGAGUAGAUGAGUCAGUGCGUGUAAGGUGCUUGAUAGAGUGCCUGGCAUAAACUUGACUCAGUAAGUGAGGUUGUUAUUAAAUUUCAGUGAUCCCAUAUGCAGAUUCUCAUUUGAUUUUUCAAAAAUAUAUUACACCACCUUGCAUGAUUCCAGAUUGCCUUUACCUCGUUGCCAAAUCCAUUCCCAUCUUUGCUUUCCCUGGCUCUGCAUUGCAUAUACCCUGCCGAGUGCAGAUCCCUCCCCAGCUACACUUUUGCUCAGAGGGGGCAGGAGAAGGGAGAGAUGGAGCCCCAGUUGCUGGCUUAACUGCUUGCCAGCUUGGGGCUAGCAGCCACAUUGUGUGCUCUUGCUCAAUUCAUGUGACUCGACAAAUUUGGAAUGUGUUAGGGAGAGAGUUUUUCCAGCUAUGAGUCAGUACAUUUAUGCUCUCACACACAGAAAAAAAAAAUUAAAAAAAAAAAAAGAGUUUAGCAAGAAUCAUUUAUUAGAGCAAAGUGGAAACCUCUAGAAAUUUUGUUUUGACCUGAAGGCAAGCAAUACUUAAGACAUUUAAUCAUGUGCUUGAAACAGGUUGCAGUUGUGAGAUAACUCAGCUAGUUGCAUUCUCCUUCUGUAUUCUCGGUCGCUGUACGUAGGAGGAUCCAAUGCACAGGUGUUUCCUUAGCCCCUCCUGCACACCCAGAAUUUUGCAAAGCACGCUGGGGAGAUAAGAGAUGUGUAAAGGAAGGGAGUCAGACCCAGCAUUUAUUAAGCCCCCGGGUGGAGCAGUGGUUAAGACUGUGGCUGCUAACCAAGAGGUCUGCAGUUCGACUCCACCAGCCACUCCUUGGAAACCCUACGGGGCAGCUCUGCUCUGUCCUGUAGGGUCACUAUGAGUAGGAAUCAACUCGACGGCAGUGGCUUUGGUUUUGGUUUAUGUGCCCGGUAGUCAUGAGGGGGAAAUGUCCCAAGUUUAGGAGGCAGUACGGGGAAAAUGGAACUACUCAGACAGGUGGGGGUUCAAACCCCAGCACCUUACUGUCAUAAUAUUAUCUAAUCCCGUUUUACAGAUGAUAGAGCUAAGGCUCAGAGAAGAUGAAACAGUCUGUCUGUGAUCACAAAGCUCUUAUAUGGCAGAAAUCGAAUUCGAAACUGGAUCUUUCAGUCUCCAACCAACAUGUUGUCUCCCUGUGCCAAAGACCUGUUGUUGUUAGCUGCCAUCCAGCCGGCUCCAACUCCUGGCGACCUUAUGUGUAACAGAAGGAAACGUUGCCCGGUUCCGCACCGUCUUCAUGAUUGUCUUGAUGCAGUGACUGCUCUCGGAGCCAGAUAGUAAAAAGAUUCCCAGGAUGUAAGCAAUACGGGACUGAUACGAUGCUGUCUGACAUGCUUAGUGAUUGGAGCAGUUACAAUUUCCUGUGCUGAAACCAUUCUGAAAACUGAAAGCACUAGACUUCAGCAUUCAAGGGAAGCCAAAGCCAUUUGCGGGUUAUUGUAAAAAGGAAGAAACAUACAGGCUGGUAGAUUUUCUGUCCCUAUUUGCAAGGCUGCGAUAAAGCAUGAUUCCGCUACUGCCUCUGGCAUGUUUGGACACCACCCUCUCGGGCCUGCUCAUUCUAAAGUCUGUUUGCUUACAAGAACAACACAUCCUCCACGUGUUUUGUGUUGGCUGCCAUAAGACGUAAACGUGGAAAAGGGACAUCCCUCAGAACUGCUGUGCUGUUGAAGGACGCUCUGUCUUGGAAGGAAGCAGAGAACUUCCCUCUCCUGCCCGCUGUGGGGAGCCCUUACCAGUGACUCCCAGGGGAACUACUUAGCCCAUGUGUGCCUGGAGGGUGCAGGAGCCCGGCUGCUUCACAUGCGCCUCCCAGAGGGUGGGUGGGAACUGUUCAGAGUGCCAAAGUCCUACUACUGCGUUUCCAAUGGGUCCCUGUAAAUAGUUUGCUCCUCUGUCCUGGCCCCUGCCUCUUGCUAUACUGGAACCGAUUUGUACAAUGGGAAUUUUGUUACCUUUUUAACUGAGGGCAACUUCCUUUUCCAGCACUACCAUUGUAAGGUUUUCUUCCAGGAGGGAGGGCUGAUCACAUGUGCUUUUCUCUUUUCUCCUUUUGUUUUUCUUAUUUUUUUUUUUUUUUUUGGAGGUUAGCAUUAGUGCCAUUAUAUCUUCUGGAUUUUAGGUAGGAGAAUUCAUUUUUAAAGGAGGUAGCUUGAAAUUUGGAGAUUUCUCAGUGGGAGGGCUGGGAUUCGGGCCUCGGUUUCCACCUGGAGAGCGGGCUGACGGAUGGCUGACCUUCCAUAUCAAAUCCGUUUUCAGUUCUCCCUCCAGCCGCCUUUGGGGGCCCUCGCUAGGUUUUCUGAACUGCCAAGAGGUAGGUCUGAUUUCUCAACUACUUGGCCUCUUAGGAGGAGGCCCUGGGUGGUGCAAACGGUUAAGCACUCAACUAAUAACCUCAAGGUUGGCGGCUCUAACCCACCCAGAUGUGCCUCGGAAGACAGGCCUGGUGAUCUGCUUCCAGGAAGUCACAGCCUUGAAAACCUUAUGGAGCACAGUUCUACUCUGCACACAUGGGGUCACCAUGAGUCAACAGCAACUGGUUUGGAUUUUUUUGGCCUCUUAGGCCUUGGGCCCAGCCAGCAUUGAGAGAACUGAGUAGCAGCAAACGGCUGUCCUCUUUUAGCACUUUCUUAAAUACCAGCAGAAAGGGCUUCUAUGUUAGUGUUAUUAUUACUACUUUUAUGAAAUUAAAACAAAAAAAGAUCUUCAUAUCUAGAUGGUACAACAAUGAACAGCAUUGGCUUUUAUUUCUAUUCUUAACUGCCUUUUCUUGGCGUGGUAGUUGACAAGAUUUCAGCUUGAAGCCUCACCAUGAAUUGAUUUUUUUGUUUGUGUGUUUGUUUUUGGGCCAAUUUAAGAUUCCUGAGUGCACUUUUUUUUUUCCAGUUAGUCCUAACUUUUAAAAAAGAAAAGCCAAGAGACAUAUCUGGUGUAAAUGUUGCAAUAUGAAUUGUGUUUGCAGUCCCUUCCUGCCCCCCACCCUGUUUGAGUACACUGCACAAAAUAAAAUCUAGGGAGUUUGAAUAAAACCAGUUUUUCUAACUUGUUACUCAUUUGUUGUAACUCAAUAAAGCAAAGACUAAACAUUUUUAUAACUUUUCCCUCUGCUCCUCCGUCUUCAUUGCUGUCUGCUCCCAGGGCACAGCCCUGGGGUUCCAAUUUAGCCACCUCCCAAUCCAUUUGUUACUGCCACGUGUCUCGUUUUCCUUCUUGGUAACGUCAGGUCUUGCAAGCAGGACUUUAAAACCAAUGAGUGCCACAAUUUUUUUUUUUAAUUCCACAGAUAAAAACAAUGAAAAAAAAGAUCAGAAGCAAGGUAUGAGUACCUCUCUCUCUGACACAGAAGUAGGUCAUAGGCGCCCCCUUCUCCAGGGUCUUCACAGAUAGAUUCACAGACUGCCGCAGAGAAGAGCAUUGUCACGGUGGGAAUUAGAAGACCUGCAGUUGAGUCACUUCCCCUCCCUGGCCUCCCGGUGACUAGAACACUGCAAUUUCUCCAAAAAGGCCGACAUUCAAACGUCCCCAUCCAGGCGAGCUUGAAGACUCCCUUGCUGAUGAGCAACAUACAUCUAAACCAACGGUUCUAGGGUCACCUGAGGGCUGGUUAAGGUUUGGAGUUGGAGAGCUGGAGCAAAGCCUGGGCGUGUGCAUUGCUCACAAGUUCCUAGGUAAAGCUCUGAGAAGCAACAGUUUGUGCUCGACUACUAACCAAAAGGUUGGAAGUUUGAACCUACCCAGCAGAAGGCCUGGUGAUUUGCUUCUGUAAAAAUUAAAGCCAAAAAAACCCUGUGGAGCCCAGUUCUGCUCUAUAACACAUGGGGUUGCCAUGAGUCAGAAUCAACUCAAUGGCAACAGAUUUGGUUUUUUGUUUUUUAUAAACUUUUUGCCAGUUUACUGAACUCAACACGUAUUUAUUCUUCAGGUGAGAGAAGAGACUCUUCCUCUCAUCCCUCACUUCCCAAAAUACAGGAAACACUUCGAAAUAUCAGGGAUUCAGGCCAGGCUGGCUUUCUCUAGAAGAUUCCGAGUCUGCCUCUCAGAAGCCCUCACUCCCUCUCUGGGUUCCCAUGGCACCAUGUCACCACACAGCUCAAGAAUGUAUUUGGUCAGCUUUGUCAGUUUCUUCAAACUGAGGCCAGGGGCCAUCAAUCCUCUACCGUGCAGUCACCUCUAAGAUUGCCCUAAUUCUCUACUAUUAAGCAAAGUUGGAUACAGUUACCUUUUCAAAAAUAAAAAUAAUGGCUAUCAUUUUUAAUUGUGGGCUUACUACACGAGUCAGGUUUUGAGCUGAGUGCCUUCCAUGUAUUUCCUUAUUUUGCCUUCACAACCCCGUGAGACAGGUGUCCCCAUUUUGCUGAUGUGGAAACUGAGGCUUAGUGAGGUUUUAUAAGGUGCCCAAGGUCAUGCAGACACUACAUGAUGGUAGUCUAUUGAUUUUGCCUAUUUUGCAUCCUUUCCCCACUUCUGGUAAAAGCAGCCACUUUAUUGUGGGAACUGCCCUCCACAUACCAUUAGGUUCUGAGGAUGCCACUGAGUGGUCCUGCUCCGCACGCAACCCAAGCCUGACCAAUCACAUUUCCCAGCCCCUGGCCCCAGUGAUGGGCCUGGGGAAUGGACUCAUGAGCCCACCUGGGCCUACUGAGUCCCCUCUUGAGAGGUGGAUGCUGGGAGAAACAAGCUCACUCUUUCUGCUUGGGUGGCUAAAUUAAGAUGUAGGCUUGGAGACUUACUGGACCAGCUAAGACUGGAGGAACCCCUAUGGCUAUAGCUCUGAGAUACUCAUUAAACUUUAACUGAAACCAUUCCCGGAAGUCCCCUUUCAGCUACAUCACAGAUUAGCUCAUGAAAUAAUUAAUAUCACCUGUAAAUACUGUGCUCCUUUAAAAAAAAAAAAAUCAGUGUGAGACCAACAAUCAACA